rnacentral:lncRNA from 1 species
AUUCAUCUCCUUCCAAAUAACCCAAAUAGAGGCAAACCAAAUAGUUGUGAAGAACGAAUGGGUGAAUCUAGACAUACCUGCCGUAUUAUUAAAUUGACCAAAAUGUUGUCGAAGGUCACCAGAAGAAACCGAAGAGAUACCUAACCAAUGCCACACAUGAGACCAAAGAGAACUGAAUAUAUCACAUCCUAAAAAAAGAUGUUGUGUUGUUUUCGCACCAAACUGCAUUGUGAACACCCCUAGUCGAGCCAAUUGGUUGAGCUUAUGUAGUUAACAAAAUUUAGUUAAAAAUAAAUAGAUCGAGAGAAUCCAAAUUUAAUUUUUGUCUGAACUAUCGUUGACGAGACUUUACUUAUCUUCUUUUCGAACUCAUGAUCAACAAUAUAUAUCAUUCUUAUUAGGGGUUAAAUAUGUUUUUGGUCACUAUAAAUAUGUCAACUUUCAUUUUAGUUCCUCUAAAAAAUUUCUUCAAACUUUAGUCGACAAAAAGUUUUUUAUCUUCACUUUUGGUCCCUCAUUUAGAGUAAACUCAUAUGUAGAAUUCAUAUUUUCGAAUAAAAUUUUGCAGAAAAAUUGAUAAUAUUAUAAGAAUCUCUCCAAACAAAAAUUAGAAUUUUUUUAACAAAAUAUGAAUUAAAUAUGUAUUUUUAUAUUUCGGCAGUUAAAAAUUCAUAUUUAAUUUAUGUUUUGUUAAAAAAUUCUAAUUUUUUUAGGGAGAUAAUUUUACAAUAUUCUACAUAAUUUCAUUAAAAAAAAAUACAAAAAUUAAAUUACAAGUAAGGACUAAAAGUAGUGAUUGAAAAUUUUAUAGCGACUAAAAGUUAAAGGAAAACUUUUGAGGGACUAAAACGAAAAGUUUGUAUAUUUGUAAGGAGCAAAAAUAUGUUUAACACUUUUUUUUACAACCGAAGAUUCAAAACAUAAAAAAAAAAAAAAAAAAAAAAAAAAAAAAUUUUUAAACCUUUUUUUUAAAACCAAAAAAAAAAAAAAAAAAAAAAAAAAAAAAAAAAAAAAAAAACAAUGUUUUCAAGUAGUUGGCAACAUAACACGACUCUCCUAGCAAACAUUGGCAAAAAUCUAGAAUUACUUGGCUGGAGGAGGGGGAUGCAAACUCCAGAUUUUUCCAUGGGGUUAUAUCCUCUACGAGACGUUCAAAUGCUAUUGUUUCUAAUUGAGUGAAUGGGGUGCAGAUUGAAAGGGUUAAAGGGGUGAGAAGUUCGGUUUUUGUUCAUUUCAGUCGGUAUUUUAAAAGGGUGGAUGUCGAGAGACCAAGCCUACGGAAGAUGGUGUUUAAAUAUUUUUCUAAUGAGGAGGGGGCUGAUCUUAUAAAACCCUUCUUGUUAAAGGAGAUUAAGGAGGCAAUGUGGGACUGUGAUAACUUUAAGAGUCCUGGGCCGGAUAGCAUUAACCUAAGAUUUUUUGAAUGAUUUUUGGAAUAUGUUGAAGGUGGAGUUACUGAUAUUUUUGCUGAAUUUCAUUGGAAUGACAGGUUGACUAAAGGUUUGAAUAGCACUUUUAUCGCCUUGAUUCCUAAAAUUGAGAACUCGCAGAGAUUGUCAGAUAUUCGACCUAUUUCAUUUGUUAAUAGUUUGUAUAAAAUUCUGUCCAAGAUGCUUGCUAACAAAUCUAUGAUGUCAUUGUUAUUGCUAAUGAGUUGGUGGAUGAUGCCUUCAAGUUAAAGAAAAUAAUUACUUCUGUUUAAGGUUGAUUUUGAAAAAGCAUACGAUUAAGUUGACUGGAGGUAUUUAGAAGAGGUUAUGAGUAAAAUGAAUUUUCCAUUUGCUUGGCGUAAGUGGAUGAUGGAAUGUGUUACUUCAACUUCAGCAUCGGUUCUUGUCAAUGAGAGUCUGACUGAUGAGUUUAUUUUGGAGAGAGGGCUUCGUCAAGGUGAUCCUCUUUCUCGUUUUCUUUUUCUAUUAGCUGUUGAAGGUUUAAAUGUUUUGAUGAAUGCGAUGGUGGAUAAUGGAAUAGUUAGUGGGUACAAUGUUCGGGCGCAAGAUGCUUUGACCGUAACUCAUUUACAAUUUGCUGAUGAUACCCUUUUGAUUGGUGGAAAAAGUUGGGCGAAUGUUUGCGCUUUGAAAAAUGUUUUGCUUUUAUUUUUGAAAAUAUCUGGUUUAAAAAUAAAUUUUCAUAAAAGCAUGUUGUUUGGUAUUAAUGUGGCGGUUUCUUGGCUCCAUGAGGCGGCGGUUGUUAUGAAUUGUAAGCAUGGUUGCUUACCUUUCGUGUACUUGGGGCUCCCGACUGGUGUUGAUCCGAGAAAGCUUUAGUUAUGGAACCCUUUGGUUCAGCGUAUUAGAAGUAGACUUUCUUGUUGGAAAAGCAAAAAUCUUUCGUUGGGGUUCGGAUGAUUCUCCUUAAGUCUGUACUGUCUAUUCCGGUUUAUUUUCUUUCCUUCUUCAAAUCUCCCUCAGGUAUCAUUUCUAUCCCUGACUCUUCAGUUUGGAGGUUUUGGGGAUUUUUCCAACAAGUCUUGUUUGACUUUUAAUAUUAUUUGGAUUUCAACUCUUUUUACUAUAUGGAAGGACCGCAAUAUGAGACAUUUUUACAAUAAAUCGGAACACCUGCUAUCUUUAUUGAAAAAGAUUAAACUACAAGUCUUUUGGUUGUUUAAAUAUAAUCUCAUAAUGCUGUUUUUGAUUUUGAUUAUUCAUUAUGUUUUUAGGUUGUAACAUAAUUUUAUUCUUCUUGGCUACUUUGUGGUAACAUAUGGAUCGUCUUAUUGUAAUUUUUAAAUACUUUAACUUCCUUUUAUACAUCUUGUACUAGAGGAUCCUGUGGUGGUUUUUAUAAUAUUUUGUUUAACUUCUUAAAAAAAACACGACACUCCUAAUAAAAGAUAUAUAUAUUUGAUUUUUGUUUUUAGAUAAAUAUAUUUGAUUUUUGAAGUCGUUUAUUAAGUCGUAUGAAAGACGCUUGUUCAAAAAAGUCGUAUAAAAAACGAAUAUCGCUUUGGGGAUGCUAUAGUAUGUCUUGUAGCUAUAAUUGAAACAUUAGCCAUGGGAGUGGAACCCAAAACUACAAUGAAUUAAUUUUUUUUUGUUUUAAAUAUUUGGGACCAAGGAAAAUGGGCUGAGCUGUCUUUGUGACCUAUUUUUGCUAUAGAAUAGACAAAUGUUCUUUAAAUCAAUUUGUCCACAAACCCUAGCGACAGUGAGUAAGGAAGGAAAAGUCAGCAUUUAAUUGUUACUCCAACACGGUUAAAAUUCUGUGUAGUAAAAAAUAGCGGAUUAUGAAUAAGUUACCUUAUAGCGAAUGACUUAUAAGUUGAUUUAUGUUUGUUAAAGGAUAAAAUAACUGAUUGGGUUUGUAGUAUUUAUUAAAAUUAACGGUUGAUUUUUUUCUUCUUCCAGCAACACCUUAUUAGUAUAAGUAAUGAUAUUUGAACAACUAUUUUGGUACAACUUUGUUGUUCUCUCUUCUUAUUGGUCAAAAACAAUGGAGAGAGAAAAAUGAAGAGAGAGAAUAAGAAGAUAAUGUGAGUAUGAGAGAGAGAGUUAUACAAAAGUUGUACAAAAAUGGUUGUACGAAUAACAUUUGUCUAUUGAGUUAGUAUAUUAAGAAAAAAAAAGUAAAAAAAGAGAGGGGGUGUAGACCAAAACACUCAAAGAAAGAAAUUUAGGAUUAAAAUCAAAGCUUCAAGUCGACACCUUUGGGAGCAACUACACUGAGCGUAAAUUAACUGAUUCUCUGCAUAGUCAAUUUUGAUGGACAAGACCAGAGAAAGCUUCACUUUGACUUUAAAUAAAUGGACAAUGACACAAAGCCUCUUAGAUUAAUUAGACCUUAUAUUAUAUACCUCUCUGAUUAAUUGGCAAGAAUCAAUAUGCGACAUUUGUGAAAGAAAAAAAAAGUAUAAACUGUUUCGUAUUAGCGUGGCAGGUCCUCGCGAGCUUACCUCAGUUGAUAGGGACAAUGCAUAUAUUAUGUAAGGUCCGAGGUUCAAACCUCAAUCUUUACCAAAUAAAUAUUAGCGUGGCAGAAAUCACGGGUUAAGUGGAUCAUUAAUUAUGCAGUCGUGUUAUUUUUGUAUUAAUGCUUUUAUAAUAUUAAGCAUUUUCCAAAAAAAAAUGUAUCUUUCCUUUAAAACCGAAGGUAUGUACGCGAAGAAAACUAUAUGGUUUUCAAGCAGUUAGUUGGUAAAAGUUACAUAACACAGUCUCUCUAACCUAAGUUAUAUAUAUAUAUAUACAAUUUAUGAAGUCGUUUAUUAUGGAAACAAUUAUCCACAAAUCACAAAUGUAUUAUCUAAAAACCUAAAUCCUUAACAAAAUCUGCAGAAAAUGGAUUACCUGCGGAAUUGUUACCAAAUUCUGCGGGUAAAUCUGCAGGAAAGUUGGGAGUUUAUAGUAGUGGCAGUUCAAACCCAUAUAAAAAACGAAUAUCUCUUUGGUGAUUCUAUAGAAUGUCCUGUAGUUAUAAUAGAGAAAACAUUAUCUGUGGAAGUGGAACCCAAUAUACAAUGAGUUAACAAAAUAAAUUAAAUAUCUGGGGACCAAGGAAAUUGGGUUCAGUUGUCCUUGUAACCUAAUUUUCAUAGAAUAGACAAAUGGUCUUUAAAGCAAUUUGUCCACAAAACCAAACCACACUUCAGUAAGGAAGGAAAAGUCAGCCUAUAAUUGUUACUCCACUCAACUUAAUUGAGAUUCUGUUUGAUAAAAAAUAAUGGAUACUUAAGGCAGAUAACUUAUAAGUAUAAAAUAAUAACAUAAAAAGAACUAUUUUUAAUUAUUAUUUAUUUAUUUAUUUUAAUUAAGAUUGCAUGAGCGAAAUUGAGAUAAAUAAUGAUAAUGAUAACUUACUUGAAUUGACUCGUCAAAAACUACUAUAAACUCAUAAAAUAAGCUAUACGCUCAUGAGAAAAUAACGGUUUUUAAAUAAGUCUUUUUUAGUUCAAUUGUGUUUUAUCAAACAUACCCUAAACGACACAUUUGAAUUGUACGUAAUUUUUUUUUAAAAAGUCAAUAAUUGGAUGAAUUGCAUCGGUUUCAAUUGAUAUCAUUUAUUAAAAUAUUUUUAUUAAUUAUAGUUAGUAGUAAUUAGAUAAGUGAAAUUCAAUAAAAUGAGUGUAACUACAGGACAAAAAGUAAGUUAAAGGACCAAAAAGAAACUUUUAAUAGUUAAGGGACCAAAAUGAAACCAAAAAGUAAAUUAAGGGACCAAAACGAAACUUUUAAUAGUUAAGAGACUAAAACGAAACCAAAAAAUAAGUUAAGGGACCAAAAGAGUAAUUAAACCAUUUUUUUUUACAAAACAAUAAAUGAAAGUAUGUUAAUGAAAGUAAAAUGUAAAUGUUGAAAAUGACAAUUGCUUUAGAACAGACAAAAGUUUAAGUAUGAUAUUUUUUACGAGACAAAAAUAGUAACAUUCACAUGUAAAGACUUUUGGGUUUGUUAGGGCAAAUGUCCCACCACCUCGGAACAUUCAGAAGAGGAAAAAAUAAAUAAGGCUAAAUAAUGCAAAGGCUUUGAUUUGAAAUUGAAUUAUUUUGACUCAUUGUGUGGAUUUUAGGUAUGUUUGGUGGGUAACCUACACCAUUCAAUCAUUCCCAUCACAUAAUUAAAUGAAUCUCACUUAAUAAAAUUGAAAAUAAUAUACUCCCUCCGAUCUCAAAAACAAAAGAAGAUUUUAUUCAUGUUCAUUGAAUAGAUACUGUAUAUGGUUUAGAAUACAGAUUAGAUACAUCAUUUAUUCAAUGAAUUUAAAAAAUAAAAUCUUAUUUAUUCAUUUUUUUGAGAGUUUUCUUGUCCGUCCUUUAUUAAAUAAAAAUAAUUAUUAACUUAUUUUUUUAUUGAGCCAAAAAACUGCAUCAGCAACAUAUACUAGCAAGAAAACUCCUUUUUAGGCACCAAAAUGAGUGCCCGAAGAGCAAUUUCCUUCCAGAAAAUCCAUUCAACGAAUAUCAAAUCAAAUGAUAAUCUAUAAAUCGGAUCGAGAAAGAUUCCCUCAACAGAUCAAACAUAUAUUCACCUAUUUCUCCUAAAACCCUAUUUAGAAAAGGAAAUCAGAAAAGGAUAAAGGUACACACAUUCUAAUUCUAUACCAAAAUACCUCUCACCCACUUUAGUGAAAGAUAAACUUGAGUGUUCAAGUGAUUGCAAAUCAACACCUUCAUCGAUGAGCUCAAUCAAUGUCCUUUGUUGUGAUAUUCAAUGUCCUUUGUUGUGAUAAAAAUAACCUUAAGGCAUUAUAGAUUUUCAUACUCUGUCCAAAAAAAGUAAUUUUUGACACUUGCCAAUAUGUGCUGGAAAGCUAAGGAAUAGAGCUACACAUUUAUGUUGAAAAAAAAGCCCAAUUUAAACGUUCUACUUAUCAAAAUUGCGAAUUUCUGAAACAUUAAAGUUGACUAAGAGUUUUUGGACCACUUAAUCCUAUGUAUUGGGCCGAAUAGCCCAUAUCGGGUCAACUUAUGUUAAGACCCAUUUUGAACCGUCAAUAUAUUCCUAAGGGCUUAGAGGCCCUCCAAAAGGGUCGGAAGCCCUCCAAAAGGCUUGGGACGCCCUCGGAAAGGGCCCCAAGGCCUAGGCGUGCCCUUCCAAUGGCGUCGCCUCAAUCAGCUUGUAGAAGCCUCUAGAGCUCGGCAAAAAGACUUAAAAUCCCUCGUUGCUUAGGGCUUAAGUCACAAAAAACCAAGCCCACAAUAGGCUAUAAAAACCUCCCAUUGAGGUCUAUUAGGUGAAAUAUCUUGUCUAAAAUGGGAAGGUUACUUGUCUAAAACUUCUUGUUCAUAAUGGUCAAAUGUUGCAACGACCUCUGCACAUGUCUAUUAGGUGAAAUAUCUACGCGUCUUUUUAUGAGCUACAUAAUUUGGUUGGAAUUAGGAUUUGCUUAGUAGACAAGUAUGAGAUGUUUUUAGGAGUACAUACUUUGUAGUUGUAACCUAUUUUGAAUGUUAAGGAGGAUGAGGUUUCCGACAAGUAUUUUGUGGUUGCAACCUAUAAGAGAACGAAAGAGAAAUACCUAUAUCGAGCAGAUGCAUGAAUUAGAGUUAUGUUAGAACAACAACUAGUAACAAAAAAUUAUAAGAGAACGAAAGAGAAAGACAAUGAACACACAAUAUUUUUUAACACAGUUCGGCAAAUUGUGCCUACGUAUUGAAAAAGGAACAUGGGUCGUAUGAGAAGGAAAGGAACGAGAGCUUAAAUGGAAAAUGAGAGUGGAAAAAGGAACCGAACAAGCUUAAAUGAAGUUUGGGGAAAGCUUCGAUUGAGCCAUGGGUGAUAGAGAUUAAGGUUUCAAUCUGGGGGAAAGUGAGAUUGUGGGUAAGAGUGGUGGAGAUUUUCAUUUCAAUUUGGGGAAAAGUGAAUAAAAUUUGGUUUUAGGGUUUUGAAGCUGUGGGAGAGAGAAUGAAAAUGGAAAAGCUGGGGUGAUAGGUAUUUGGCCAAAAGAUAUAUGGUGAAGCGUGUUUGAAAAAAAAGCAUAAAACCUACGACCCUUAAGACUAACCGUCGCAGUAACAAUCACAAAAGUGUAAUCGCGACAGUUAUAAGCUAAGGGUCGCAAAGUAAGUGUCGCAAAAUGCCAAUUUUCUUGUAGUGUACCUAUGCGACUAUAGGGCAACUAUAGUUCCGUUUCUAUUACUGUGAUAAGAAUUAGGAUUUCAGUGUUACAAACUGUAUAUAUAGUACUAUCAUGAUGUAGUUCACAAUAUUACGCCUUGUCUUCUUCAAUGUCUUCUAUAUAUGAGUCAUACUUCAAAAAUAUCCAUCUUAGCGAAUAUCAAACCCUUAUGAAGACUUCUUGCAUUACAAUCACAUCCUAGCAAAAUUAUCUAUAAUAAAAAAGAUCUUAAAAAUGUGUUGAAUUUUGGUUCAAUUUUGACCCAAAAUCAUCCAUUCAAAUUAUUUUUCCUUCGUUUUUAGUUAAAUAAGUGACGUACACAUAUUUUCAACAUUCUUUCAUUUCUUUUGAUUUUCGUCUUAGUGCGGUAUUUAUUUGAUUCAGGUUGAAAGACUAAGUUUGAACAAGUGCAUAUUCAAUCCUUGACUUUGACUUCGUCAAUAUUGCAGAUCCGGAGACAUGCGUAUUCCAGAGACUUGAAUAUUUGUAAACAUAGAUACUCUGUCGUUUUAUGUUAUUAACAUGCAUGCAUGCAUGCGUGAGAUUGUUUAUAAAUUUAUCCUUUUUAUUUUUAGUAACUCUGAAUUUGUAUUAUAUUGAUGUACUUUAUCAAUUUAACUGAUCAUUUAUUUGUGUUGAAAAAAAACAAUUUUCUUUAUGUGGCCGCCAGAUUAGCUCCCAUAGUGAUUAGAAAGUAAACAAUAAAGAAAGUUACACGCAAUUUCAUGGUUGGUUGUAUAAAGUCUUGUCCAGCUAAGUUGUAACAUAAUUAAAAAAAAAAGACUAUUCAUUAUUCAAAUUUGAAAAAGAUAUAAUGAUAAAGACAUUUUAUCACCUUAUUAGUAUUAAAAAAGCACAGAUAAUCACCUAGACACUGUGGCUAAGUAAUAGUCUUAGUUGGAAAAAGAAAAGUAUUGCAUAUUCUUUUUUUUGGAGAGAAAAGUAUUGCCUAUUCUGUAAGUCAUUGUAUGAGUAAACCUAGCUAGCUACUUGCCGUACAUAUAACAUGAUUUAGAUUUACUGGCUCAAAAUAUGAGAAUGUUCCUUUAGUCAAAGAGAAAAAAGACCUAUUUGUUCUUUUUGCAAAUAGAAUUAAUUCUUACAUCAGUCUUAAAAUAUUUAUAUGUUACGGAUCGUUUUAAAUAUAGGGUCUUAUUAACUAGUACUUUUAAGAUAUUGAUUAAUAAAUCCAAUAACAGAAACUUUGUUUUCGGAAUAUAAAUUUUUACUUUUUACUAAUCAAUAAUCGCAUCACUUUUUUAACGUAAAUUUAUUAAUUUUAACACCAUAACCAAUGCCUCAAAGGCAUUUAUUAUUAUUCCCCUUAAAUAUAAUAUCUUCUUAAGUAAUUUUUUGUCUUUGUUUUAUGACUAUUUUGAUAAUUUUAUGUAAGCAAUAAGUAAAUUAAUAAUAAAUACUAUAACGAAUAAAACACUAGAAAAAGCAAAAUUAAGGAGGGAAAUUAGUGACGGAAAAAAUAAAAUCCCUUACAAAAUCUUUGGUCAUAAAAUUUAGUGACGGAAUUAGAGAAUGAUUUCAUAUUUUUGCUCUCUAAAUUUUCCUCACUAGUUUUUGCUUUUUAGUAGUGAAAGUUUUAUGUGGAGUGUUGCAAGAAAGCUAGCAGUUUGCAACAGGAGCACUAUAUGUUUACGACAACGAGUUGGAGUAUAUGGAGGAGUAGGAAUGCAUCGUUAUGGGAGGAUGUAUUUGCGAGAGUUGUUGAAGUAAUUUAUCGCGGUAAUGUUUUACUUAAGGAGUGGAGGGAGCACAUCAAGAAAAUGGAAAGUUUUGAUUCAAUUUCAACAUUUCUUCACCUUGACUCUAAAUUAGUGAUGAUGAAGAAGAACUCUCUCAGCGCAAAAUUGGGGCCCGAUUUUCGCACAUCAGGGGCCGAAUUUUUACAAGACAAAAGUCUCAAAACACCAUGUCACAAGCGGAGAAGACCGAGAUGGUGGACAAGGCUAGGAGUGACAUUGUCUUAUGCCUCGGGGAAAAAGUUUUGGGGGAUGUCGCUAAGGAACCAAACGCGACAUCGAUGUGGUCAAAGUUGGAGUCAUUGUAUAUGACAAAGUCUUUGGCUCAUUGGCAAUUCCUAAAGCAAGCACUCUACUCAUUCAAGAUGGUGGAGUCAAAGACCACCAUGGAGAAACUUACAGAGUUCAACAAGAUCCUUGAUGAUUUGGAGAACAUUGAGGUGCAUCUUGUGGAUGAAGAUAAAGAUAUACUCUUGUUCUGUGCGCUACCGAGAUUAUUGGAAUCUUUCGAGGAUACAAUGAUUUAUGGCAAAGAAGGCACUGUCACCUUAGAAGAUGUUCAAACGGCUUUGAGAACCAAGGAGUUGACCAAGUCCAAGGAUUUGAUAGCUGAUGAAAACGGUGAAGGUCUAAGUGUUUCAAGAGGGCAUGGUGGAGGUAGAGGUAAUCAGAGAAAGGGCGGUAAAAAGUCAAAAUUUAAGUGCUUUAACUGUCACAUGAUGGGUCACUUCAAGAAGGAUUGUCCGGAGAACAAUGAUAAUUAUCUCCGACGGUUAUGAGGAUUCGGGUGCUUUGGUGGUGUCUCAUUGGGGGUGAAAUGUUGAAAUUGAGUCAAAAUUUGAUGAAUGAAGAAGAUUGUUGCUAAAAAUAUAAAAUAUCGAUGCGUCUAUUUAUGAGCAUCAUAAUUACGUUGGAAUCUUGAUUUGCUUAGUGGACAAGUAUGAGAUGUUUUGGGACAAGUAUGAGAUGUUAAGGAGGGUGAGGUUUCAGCAUAUAUCGAUCGGAUGCAUGAAUUAGAGUUCAACAAAGUUAUCUUUACUUUAGAUUCAAAGAGUGUUGUGGACUCUUUAAACUUACUCACCAAUAAUAGAACCGAUGCAUAUUCCAGUUUAAGUAGAUGUUAUAGUAAUUUAAAUCAUCGUUUUGUAAAAACUCUUUUGCUGAUUGUUUUAGAAGAGAGAGUAAUAUGUUUGCUCCUAACUUUGCUAAGGUGACUAUAGGUCCGUUUGUUAUAGCUUUUUAUUAAAAAAAAUUUAACAAAGAAAUUUUCAAAGAAAACUUCAAAUGAAAAAUUCGUUUGAAUAACUUAUCUUAAAAUGUCAUUUUAAAUAGUUCAUCAUUUUGUUAUAUUCUUUUUUGGAUACUAAAAUUUGGAAAAAAUCUCUAAAAUAUAAACUAUUUCAAAUAGUUUUUUAUAAAAAUAUUUUUCAAAGAUAUCGUUUUGAAAAAAAUAUGAAAGAAUUAAAUUUAGAAGGUUCUCGUUAGUAUUCAUACAAUUUCAAACCUUUGAACUAUAGUACAAUAAUUAAUCCUCAAUAAGCAGAAGCUUCUUAAUAUUAACCAUAAUAUUUUCACUCAAAGGGAUCGUCAUGUUUUUUAAUAUCUUUUUCAUCAAGCAUGCAUUUUUAUGUUAGUACAAUCAAUCGAUAUUGUCUUUUAUUUUUUUAACUCACAGUCCACAUUAUCUAUCCACCUAUAUAUAUAUAUAUAUAUAUAUAUAUAUAUAUAUAUAUACACCCAUGAAGGUGUCUUUUAGCAACCCACACCUCAAGGUGUGAUUUUCACUUUUUAGUUAUAACUUUGCUAAAAGACACCUUCAUAAAAAUUAGUUGGUGUCUUCUAACAAAUGCUAAUAUAAUAACUUGCUAAAAGACACCUUCAUAAAAGGUGUCUUCGACUUCUAGCAAAACUCAUAUAUAUAUAUAUAUAUAUAUAUAUAUAUAUAUAUAUAUAUAUAUAUAUAUUUUGAAGAAUUCCACCUAUAUAUUUAAAAUGACCUUUAAAAUUAUAUAAAAGAGACCUUUCCUAGAAAAAUAUAUAGAAUAAAAAAGACCUUAAAAAUGUGUGGUAUUUUACAUGAUAUAUGGCGGCCAGAUUAGAUUAGUUCCCCUUGGUGAUUAGAUAGUUAACAAUAAAAAAAGUUACAUAAUAUCUUGUAUAAUAUAUUUUUAUUUUUUUUGAAGGAUGGUUGUAUAAUAUCUUGUCCAGCUAAGUUGUAACAUAAUUCAAAAAAAGACUAUUCAUUAUUCAAAUUUGAAAAUGAUGUAAUAAUGAUAAAGACAUUCUAUCAACCUUAUCAGUAUUAAAAAGGAAAAAGAAAAGUAUUGCAUAUUCUGUAAGUCAUUGUAUGAGUAAACCUAGCUAACUACUUGUCUUACAGCAGUCUUAAAAUAUUUAUUUGUUACAGUUCGUCUUUAAGUAUAAUAUCUUCUUAGUAAUUUUUUGUCUUUGUUAUAUGACUAUUUUUGAUAAUUUAAUUGUCUCUAUUAAUUAUUUUUUUCAAAAUUAAUACGUCUAAUUAUUGUAGAUACUUUUUUUUUUUUUUAUGUAAACAAUAAGUAAAAUAAUAAUAAGUACUACAAAAGAUAAAUUUAGGAAAAAAAAAUAGUAUAAUUAGGUAAAAAAAUUGUCUGUUUUAUUGUAAUUUUUAGGAAACAAUAAGUAAAUUUAACUAAAAAUUGUCUAAUGAGGUAAAUUACCUAAAAAUGGCAUAAUGAUAUAUAUCACCUAAACAUGUCUGUCUUAAUAACAAAUGAAGUAGUAAAAUUGAUUAAUGAGAUUUAUAUGAAAAAGUGGUUAGCAACAUAAGUUUCUCAUAUGACUGUAUUUGUGUCAAAUUUUUGUGGUCCAAUAUCAUUGCUCAUAUCUUUUUUGGUUACAAUCAUUGCUAUAUGAUUUUACUUUUUUAGGAGUGCUAAUAUGAUAUAUCUAUCAAGCAAACUAUUUUAUUAUUAUAUAUGACGUAAAUUUUCCAAUAAUUGAUACUCUCUUUUAGGUCACAUUUACAAGCAAUUUUGCUUUAUCAUUUAUUGAAUAACUGAUAUAUUUAGACUAUAAUAUAGUUCAGAUACAUCAGUUGUUUAUAUCUGAUAAAGUAAAAUUUGCUUAUAAAUAUAAGUGGAGGGAGUAUCAUAGUAGCAAUGGUACACUACUAGAAAAAGUAAAAUUAGCGAGGGAAAUUAGUGACGUAAAAAAUGAAAUUCCUCACAAAUUUUUUGAUCGAAAAUUUAGUGACGAAAUUAGAGAGGGAUUUUAUGUUUUCCCUCACUAAAUAUUCCUCACUAAUUUUUGUUUUUUUGGUAGUGGUAAACUAACCUGCUCCAUAUGAACAUAACCUUAGAUAUUGACCAGUUCCAUGCAUAUACUUUUCCACGUUAAUGACAAGACAAAUCAAAUUCCUAAUAGCAAUUUUUAAAUGUCUUUGUCAAAACAAAAAUGUCUUUGUCAUAAUAUAAUAAAUCGUUUUUAAAAUGCCUAUAUCAACGCGUGGAUCAAACAUACAAUAAUAAAAAAACUCAUGGAUCAGACACACUUCAUGAUUGAUGAUUGUGAACACUACCCCACAGUUAAAUUUUGAGAAUUUACUGCUCUAUAUAUUAUAUCUCAUCAUGAAUGUAUUGAGGAGAAAAUCACAUCAUGAUUUACUGACUUUAUGGCAGGAAAACCAUCGUAAGAAUAAUAAUGCUUGUCCAUAUGAUCCAGUUCCAUGCAUAUACUUUCCAAUAGUUGGAAUAACAGUUAAAGGAAAAUUUCAUUAAAAAAAAAUUGUUGAAGGAAGAGUGAUUUUUAUUUGUGUUUAAACACAAGACAAAAGUAGAAAACAGCGAGAGAGAAAGGAAGAGAGAACACAAAAUAAUUUGUUGAUUCAGUUCGGUCCAAAUUAACCUAGUUUAGGGAGAGAACAGCCAUCCAUUUUACUAUAUGAUGAGUAACCUUACAAAAGAGAUAUCAAUGGGUUACAAGAAUAAAUCUCCCACUUAAUUAUACCUAAAGUCUCAAUCUCUUCCCGUAACCAAUAGACUCGAUCUUAAUAGUGUUUCCCAACGUGAAACAACCCUCAAACCCUAGUGUUUGUUCCAGAGACAAACUCUAUACAAACCCUAGUUUUGUUGUUGCAUUUCUAAACCCUUGUUUCAGCCCCUUUAUCUCAAGGUUUACAAUGAUACAAUGUCUAUAUUUAAAGUAAAAGAAUCCUCAAUAAAACUGGAACAAAUCUAGGCCCGAAAAUAUGUUUCUGUUUUAUUUUCUGCUGUCAAAAUCAGUCACCAUGCUCACCAAAUUGGCCACCGAUUUUUGCCGAAUCUGAAGCUCAAAUAAAAUAGUAUUCCAAUUUCUUUAAUUUUGAGGCACUUUCACAACAGAUAACAUGUAAAGUUUUUCAAAGUUUGCUGCUGACAAAGCACAGAUUAAUUUGAUCAUAUACCUAAUAAAUACCGAUUUGAAUUACUUUGAAAUUGUCAAGAAAAGUUUUUUCUUGGUACAAGUAAAUAAAAAACAAAGUUUUUACUUACCUUGAAAUUAGCUGACAAACCCAAAUAAUAAAAUAAUGAUUAAUACAUCUAAACUUCUAUAUUUAUACAUAAAGGAUACAUGACUUUAUAUUGGUUCUUUAUCUUCUAAUUAUUCUAAUAUAUAUACUCUUUAAGAUUAAAAUAAAAUAAGUAUAUGAUUUAGCACAAUAGAAAACUAGGACGAACAUAUAGUACUUAUUAUUAUAAAAUUUUAUUUACCUUCGACCAUACUUCGAUUUAUGAAGAUUCAGAUUCUUAAAGUAUCGAAGGGUUAACACAAUAAUAACUAAAAAUAUAUAUAAAAAAGAUGGGUACAUAGAAUCCAUUUUAACACUAAUACUACUAAAAUAAAAAAAACAAAGGUAGUGUCAACAUUUUCCAGCUAAUAAGCUCACUUACUUUAAAUAAUUUCAUUCAUGAAUAGUUUGCUGUCUUUAUCAAAUACAUAUCCACGUUCCAUGAAUAAACAACUUGUGUCACAUUGGUCCAAAAAGCAUACUGAAUUAUUCAAAGGCAGGCCAUUAUUUGUAUCCUAUGUUUUAAAUUAAUAAUAACCUCAGAUUUGUAAAAAUAAUUUGUUAAAAAAGGAUUACAAGAAUUUUUAUUGUAUUUUUUUUAGAGAGGUUGAAAACUAGGUGAAUUUUAAUAUGUACCAAAUCAAAGUUCAGUAACCAAGAUGAAUAGUUAAGUUAAAGUGGUAAUGAAAAAACUAUAUAAAGGGUGAUGCUGCCUUCAUUACAUCAACAACGAAACCCACUUUGGGAAAAAGAUGGGGUCUCAAAUGGCCUCUAUUACUCUCACUAUUGCAUUGGCAAUAAUCUCUCUUACCUUGCCAUCCCAAACUUCAGCAAACAGCUACAUCUAUUCAUCUCCACCACCACCACCAAAGCCUUACUACUACCACUCUCCACCACCACCGGUGCACUCACCACCUCCUCCUUACCAUUACAGUUCCCCACCACCACCUCCAAAGAAGCCAUACAAAUACGCUUCUCCUCCACCUCCAGUUUACAAGUACAAAUCACCUCCUCCACCAGUGUAUAAGUAUAAGUCUCCUCCUCCACCACCGAAGAAGCCAUAUAAAUAUCCAUCUCCACCACCACCAGUUUACAAGUACAAGUCACCUCCUCCACCAGUUUACAAGUAUAAAUCUCCUCCACCACCAGUUUACAAGUACAAAUCACCUCCUCCACCGGUGUACAAGUAUAAAUCCCCUCCUCCACCAGUGUACAAGUACAAGUCUCCUCCACCACCACCUAAGAAGCCAUAUAAAUACCCAUCUCCACCACCGCCAGUUUACAAGUACAAAUCACCUCCACCACCGGUGUACAAGUACAAAUCUCCUCCACCACCAGUUUACAAGUAUAAAUCCCCUCCUCCACCAGUGUACAAGUACAAGUCUCCUCCACCACCACCAAAAAAGCCAUAUAAAUACCCAUCUCCCCCACCACCAGUUUACAAGUACAAAUCACCUCCUCCUCCAGUUUACAAGUAUAAAUCUCCUCCACCACCAGUUUACAAGUAUAAGUCACCUCCUCCCCCAGUUUACAAGUACAAAUCUCCACCACCACCACCCAAGAAACCAUACAAGUAUCCAUCACCACCACCACCAGUUUACAAGUAUAAGUCUCCCCCUCCACCUGUCUACUCACCACCACCAGUUUACAAGUAUAAGUCUCCUCCUCCACCUGUCUAUUCACCACCUCCACCAUAUAAGUACAAAUCUCCACCACCUCCUCCUUAUAAGUACCCAUCACCACCACCACCAGUUUACAAGUACAAGUCACCUCCUCCCCCAGUUUACAAGUACAAAUCUCCACCACCACCACCCAAGAAACCAUACAAGUAUCCAUCACCACCACCACCAGUUUACAAAUAUAAGUCCCCUCCUCCACCUGUAUACUCACCACCUCCACCAGUUUACAAGUAUAAGUCUCCUCCUCCACCCGUCAAUUCACCACCUCCACCAUAUAAGUACAAAUCUCCACCACCUCCUCCUUAUAAGUACCCAUCACCACCACCGCCAGUUUACAAGUACAAAUCACCUCCUCCUCCAGUUUACAAGUACAAAUCUCCACCACCACCACCCAAGAAACCAUACAAGUACCCAUCACCACCACCACCCGUUUACAAAUAUAAGUCCCCUCCUCCACCAGUUUACAAGUAUAAAUCUCCUCCUCCACCUGUUCACUCACCACCUCCACCACACUAUGUCUACUCUUCACCUCCUCCUCCGGUCUAUUCCCCUCCUCCACCACAUUACAUAUAUUCAUCACCUCCUCCUCCUUACCACUCUUAGAUAACGGUUUACCAUAGUAUCCCAUGGUAUGCUUCUUUUUUAGUACGACCAAUAUCUUUAUGAUUAAAAUGCUUCGAGAAAUACUAAUUUAUAUAUCAACAAAAUAUAUGUAUUUUAUCAACGAAACAAUUAAAUAAGAGAAUCAAAAUUAGUGAUUUGAAUAGUUUUACAUGCCAACACAUGCAAGUCGUUAUAUAGACCUCACAUUCAUUUUAUUCUUAUUAUUCUUAUAGUCUAAAUAGUACAAUUUUCUUGAAACGUCUAAAUUGACAUACAUCUUAUGGUACAGUUUACAAAAAUCAAUCUAAGCCUAUUUUAUUUCUAUUUAUAGUAUUAUAUGUAAAUAGAAAAAAUAUACAAACUAAAAGGAAAGUUGACAGUUAUGUUUCUUAUUAAUGCUUCUCACUCGUAUUGUUCUUUGAGUGCUUAAUUAAUGUGUUUAUGUGUUUGUAUAUACUUUUGUAGGGAUUAAGGAAUAUUGGAAAUAAAGAGAACAUAGUGCAAAGCAGGAAGAUGCAUUUAGCAAUAAGGGAGAAAAACAACGGAAGCAAAGUUUCCAUGCAUUUUGGUCUCAGAAAAAGUCACUUUGUUUUUCUUAUUUGUUUGUAUAUGAAUUAUUAUUCUCAUUAUUGAGUUUGGUUAUUGAAUUUAGACAGGUGUAAUACACUGUGUGUAAUAUCGUGAAUGCAUUUUGUUUUGGAACCUACUCUUUGCAAGGGGUUGGUUGGGAAAAUAAAAUUGAAUAUUUGUUCUACUAAUUCUUUGCAUAUUUAUUGUGAAAUUACAAUAUAAUCAAUGCUCAACUAAUUAUUUUUUUCAACAGAAAACUAAUGCAUUUCAUUAAAAAUUAAAGGACCAAUAUAAAGGAGAAUGUCAAAUUAUAAAGCUAAGAAUUUCUGAAAAAAAAAAUAAAGUUGAGAACUGACGCUGUAUAUGUUUAGCUUAGCAAAGGUGCAUUGUGCAUCCAUAUUAGUCUCUCUCCUACAAAACUCGACAUAAGAAUUAUUACAUAAUAACGAUAAAGUACUACAAUAUCUACUUAAAAUAGAAUCUACAUAUCAAUAGCUGUUAAUAAGUUUAAAGUCUCACCCUCACUCAAUAACUUAUUUAAGCAUUGAAUGUUCAAUCCAAUUGCUAUUAAUUUCGACAAGCCGGUCCUAAUUUACUCUCUCUCGGUUUUCUCUUCCAGUUUCUUCAUUGAGGAGUUAUUUUGGGUCAAUUAUUGACCUGAAAUCACUCCUCUUCAUCUUUUUAUGCCUAUUUCAAUCUAAAUAAGUGAUUUUCACAUAGAUUUAGGUUUUUUCUUUGUGGUUUUAUCAUCUAAGUGUGGUGGUUUGUUGUUCGUCGUCUUGUGCGGCGUUGUUCGAUUUCACGUUUCUUGCGGUGUUCAUUUAAUUCAUAUUGAAAGAUUGAUUAUUCAAUCGAAGAUUUGGGCGUCAACGUUGCAGAUCCGGAUGCUAUGGAUAUUCCGGUCACUUUAAUUUUAUCAUAUAUUUUUUGUUGUGAAAACCACACCAAUAAUAAACUUGAUGCGUGGAGCAAAUUAAUACCAAGUAAUCAAAUCAAGCGGGUAGCAAAUAAUUCAAACAAAAGUAAACGACAAGAGAUAAAAGGAAAGAAGGAGAACACAAGAAUUUGUUUACCCAGUUCGGUCUAAUGAUGACCUAGUCUAGGGGAGAUAGCAGCUCUCUGCUUCACUAUAAUGAUAUGAGUUUCUUUACAAAGAGAUAUUGAAUUACAAGAAUCAGUCUUCAAACCUAAUUCUACCCAAGUCCCAGCCUCUUCCCGUGACCAAGAGACUCAAUCCUAAUGGUGCUUUGUUCAACGUGAAUCAAAACAAUCCCAACCCUAGUGUUUGUUGCCAAGAGAAAUUCUCUAUAAACCCUAUUUUCUACACAGUGUUUUGUUUCUACACACUCUCAGUCUCUCAAAUAUUCAUAUGAUACAAAGCUUAUAUUUAUAGUGGAAAGCAUUCCUCAAAAAUUGGAAACAGGCCCACAAGCUGUUUUAUUUUUCUCAUCUUGCGAGAAAUCGGCCAUCAAGUUUGGAAAAUCGGCCACCGAUUUUUCACGAGACAAAAGUCUCCAAAACCAGGUCAAAAUCGACCACCGUGUGGUGUAACACCCCAUUCCCAAAUAUAAUUUAUUUAAAUGAAAUAAACACACAUCAGAGUAAUAAAUCCAAAUGGGCAUGUCACACUACAUUUUCAAAUUUCUGAAAUAGAAUAUAAAAAAUCUAUUUAUUAAACAUCCAAUGAAAUCAUCAUUUAAUAUGCAGCGGAAUAUUAUCAACGAAACGUCAACAACUGUUUAAACCUCCAAAAUAAUAUCUCAGCAUAAAAAGCCUCAACCAGAAUAAUUCAUCAACCAUAGGGCUACAACAACAUUAACCAAAAUUUGAUACAUAGAAUGAAAGAAAACAAUAAAAUCCCAUCCCACGUAUCAGAGCCCUAGACACUUUGAGCCACCACCUACUACUCAGGAUCACCUGCAAGUUACCCAUAGGAAGGGCAACAUUUCCAAGCAGAAGGGGUGAGAUUCUCAAUCAAUAAAAAUAAAAUAUAAUAACAUCAAUUGAAAAUCUAGCACCUUACAACAUCAAUGAUUAUUCAAUAAGCAUAGGUAUUUCAUAAUCGACAACAAUCAUUCAAAUAUAGAAUUCAAUCAACAAUGCAACUCAUGAUAUGACAUGACACCCCCCUUUAAUACUCCUCAAUAAAUGCAACUAUGCAUGUGGUACCAUAAUUCAGGGCCAUGACCCACACCACUGUCGAAUGGUUAAAGCAUUCUCAGCAGGACCUAAGUCCUCACCGCUCCACACCGCUUUGAACAACUAGUGUUCCACCGCUUUGAACGACAAGGCGUUCCAGAGCCGAAGCUCUCCCACUUUGAUGUUUAUGCAACUACCCCACCUGUGUAUAUCUACAUACAACUCGACCACUACAUAUGUAUCAUAUGACUUACUACUCCACAACUCAAACAAUCCAGACUUACACAAUUAUUUAUAAUUAUGCACAUACAUCAAUCAUCUCCGACAUUCACUAACACCAAUCAAUCCAAUCACUGGCUAGUUUAAAUAGGAUUUGGUCACCUACACCAGGGUUAUAUUAGUUAAAGAGGAAGUUAAAGAACGCUCAAGAAGUCCCCUCAUGCACUAAGCAACAGUUCAGAAAAGGCUGAUUAAGGUUCACUUCGCUUAAGCGACGGCUAGUUCGCUUAAGCGACCAGCUUACAGUAGGUUCUGGGUUCAGUUCGCUUACGGGUCGCUCACGGUUCGCUUGAGCGAACUUUGGACAGAAUGAAAAUGGUUUUUCGCUCACAGGGUCGCUUACCAUUCGCUUAAGCGAAAUCUUGGCAGAACCAAACUUAAUUUUCGCUUACCAGUUCGCUCACGGUUCGCUUAAGCGAACGGGUAAAAUCGCAUUCUGGGCAGCUUGCUUGAAUGCUCGCUUAAGCGACGGAUGCUUCGCUUAAGCGACCACUCAUCUGGGCAGUGCAAAACCUACGGUUUCAGACCUCUUCUCACUCCAAAAACCCCAUUUUAAUCCCCUGAUCACCCAAAAUGUUUUCCAACAGAUGUUUACAGGUCCUAUAUACAACUAGGCAUUACAAAGAAACACAAUUCAGCCAUCAACAACAACAAUUAUAGAAUCAUUCCACCAUCACACAAUAUUUCAUCAAUUCAUACAAUUCAUCCAAAAUUCAAUCAAUUCAUGGAUUACAGCAACAACAUGGAUUAAGAUUUCGUUCUUAACAUUAAAUUCCAAGAAACUAACAUCAUCUUUACUCAUUCCAUCAGAAUCAUCAUCAAACCCUAACUUUCAUCUUAUUUUCCAAAACUAUUCAAUUAGGUCAAUUUCAGAAAUUAUAGAUUAUGAUUAUUGAGAGAUAGUCUCACCCUUACCUUAGUUUUGCAGAAAAUUAGACAGCAAGGAUCGAUUUCUAGGCUCUCCUCUCUAGCUCUUGCUCUUCUUCUCCCUUUUCCCAAAACUUGUCUGUUGUACGUGAAACUGUUUUCUGACUAUUCCUUUUCCUAACUCCCCAAAACUAUAACUCCCCCUAUUACAUUAAACUCCAUUAAUUUUUAUUAAAUUCUAAUUAACUCCCUAAUUUCUAAAAUAAUAUUAAUUUCCAGUUAUUUUAAUUAUUAUUAUAUUAAACUAUAUAAUAAAAUGCACACACCACAUAAAUCACCAAAAAUCAUAUAAAAUCACAUUUGAGACUCCACAUAAUUCAAAAUAAAAUAAAAUAAUACUAGGGCGUUACAUGUGGUACAAAUUGGACACCGAAUUUGACAGACAGGAUGCACAUUUUUGAGUCACUUUUCAACAUUUUUGUAGGCAUUAUGUCGUUAUAUGCUAUUAAUUAACUUUGAUGUUGUGAGUUUAUUAGCAGAUUCAUCCUUUAAGUUUUUAGCGGUGUUGAAUGAUGUAAUCUCGAUUUGAAUGAAUGAAUAUCAUUUUAUUUUUGUAAAAAAAAAAAAAAAAAAAACUAUAUACAUCAUUACUGUAAUUUUUUUUACAACAUGUAUCAAUCAUUUUGUUACAUUUUGUAUUAGUUACUAAAGUAUAUCUACAAAUAGUCUAUGUCGUUAAUUGUGAUCGAAUGCACACAGAUUUUUACAUUAAAAUUUUGCAAACCAUCAAAGUUAAAAAAACAUGCAUAGAACAAACCUUGGGAUAUGUAUUCGAGAUGACGAAAACACUUUUUGUGUUGGAUAAAACUUUGUCCAUCACUGCAAUGUAUAAGCAUACGGGAGAAGUUUUGGGUUUUUUCCAAUCGUUACACUAAUUAAGUGAUAUGUAAUUUGACAAUGUUGACUUUACAUUGUACUCAAAGAUUAUUACAAAUGGUUUCCAUCAUCAUCGUGUUCAUGUUACAUAAUUUGGUCAAGUGAUUUCAGCUUACAGGGGCCUCUUUAAUACUUAUUUCACAAACUCUUAGGACGAGUUUAACAGACGACAAACCAAUGAGGUAGUUCACAUCCUUGUUGGGUUGUCAAAUUAUCAACUAAUCUCACUAUUUAUUCGCAUGUAAUUCGUUGUAUAAGCACUCUUAUUAUUAAUUAAACUAGCGAGUUAACCCGUGCAAUGUAUGAGCGACAUAUGCUACUAUUUUUUAAUCUCCAAAAUUAUAUUCUUUUUUUUGUUUUUUUAUAUAUCACUAGCGAAAAGACAAGCACUCUCGUGCCCGUCUUUCCGCUCUUUUUAUUGCGUUAAUGUUUGAAAAUUAUGAACAAUAUUUUUUUAUGAAAUUUUGAUUUUGAUUAAAACUAUAUAUAUAUAUAUAUAUAUAUAUGUUUGUUGCUUUAAAAUUAUAACAAAUCAAACUAAUCAUGAUUAUCUAUUUCAUUGAAACCAACAAUAUAACAAAAAAAAUAUAAUCUAAACUCUUAUUUUUUUAAUGACACCAACAACGAUCUUUAUUAUAGAAAAAGUUAUUUGAGGGUAUAAUUGAAAUAGUAAAAAAGUAAGUAUAUAAAAAUACUCAUCUAGUUUGUUAGACAUUUUAAAAGAUAAAAGAAAAAAAUUAGACAUAUAUAUAUAUAUAUAUAUAUAUAUAUAUAUAUAUAUAUAUAUAUCGUGUUUCUUACACUUUUAUUUUAAUACAUGAAUUUGCUUUAAUCUAUUUGUUUUGUGUUAUUUGUAUUGAAAGUUAAGGGUAAUUUUGGAAAGAGAAAAAUUCAGCCUAAAAGAGUCUAAAUAUGCUAUUUUCUUUAUAUAUAGUAUAAAUUAACUAACAUUUUAUAAGUUAUAGCCGGCCCUAGUUUUCUAGUGAGAGAAACUCCAACUUCUCUCUAGACUUUCUUUCUCCUUCGUUCAUCGAGGAGGGGUGGUUUUAGGUCAUUUUUUGACCUAGAAUCACCCCUCUACAUCUUUUUUCCCCUUUUCUUUCAAUCUAAAUAAGUGGUUUUCACAUCUAUCAAGUUUUUCGUUUUGUGUUUUUUGUGAUUUCGUCGUCUAAGUGCGGCGUUUGAUUUCGCGUCUUGUCGCGGUGUUUGUUCAGUUCCUAUUGAAAGAUCUACAUCAAUCAAUUACAAAUUCAAGCAAUGAUUUGGAUGUCAACGUUGCAGAUCCGGAAGCAUGGGUAUUUCGGUGAUUUAGGUUUGAUCAUAUUAUUUGUAGGCAUUUUGCUGUUGUAUGCUAUUAACUUGGGUGCUGUGAGUUUGCUCGCAUAUUCACCCUUUACAUUUUUAGCGAUGUUUGUAUCUGAUGUACUCUAUCGAUUUGAAUGAAUGAAUAUCGUUUUGUUUUUGUAAAAUAAAAAGUGUUUUUUUUUUUUUUUUAUAUUUUUUAUUAGUGACAAAUAUUUGACCCAUACAUUUUUUAUGUAUUAAUGAUAAAUAUUUGUUCUAGUUUUCUAAAUUUAUAAUGACAAAUAUAUCUUAUGUGUUUAUCAUUGACAAAUAUUUGACACAUUUUUUUAUAUAUUUAUCAGUGGUAAAAACCUCAUAAAGAACCUAUGUUAAAUACUUGUUCCGUACUUUUUUAAUUGAUCAAUUACAAAUAUUAGUCCCAUGCUUUUUAAUAUUUUUUGUUCAAUUUUUUAAAAUAUUUAUCAAUUAAUUUAGGGUUAACAGGCCUUUACCCCCUACAAUGAUAGGCGAAUACUUGACCCUAGAGCUCUAAAAUGUGUUUUUGUUGGCUAUUCCUCCACUUAAAAAGGAUAGAAAUGUUACCAUCCUUCGUACAAACAAUUCUGUGUCUAGAGAUGUUACAUUUCAUGAAGAGGAAGCUUUUUUCAAACAACCUUAUCUUCAGGGAGAGAAUUUAAGAGAAGAUAAGGAAAUAAAUCAUGAAAUCCUUGCUCUUCCUAUCCUUGAGUUUGCUUGUAUCCUAAGGUUGACAUAACCUUAGAGAACCUUUCAAACCAUGCUCAGGGUGAUUGUUUCAAUCCAUAUAAUGCCUUUUUCAACCUGCAUAUAGAAUUGGCAGCAAGAUUUUUACAAUAUUCUGGCGGUACCUCCAUAUAGAUUUCCUCCUCUAGUUCCCCAUGCAGGAAAGCAUUUUUCACAUCAAAUUGCUGCAAUUCCCAACCAUAAAAGGAAUGGAAAUGCAAUAAUUGAAGCUUAUACUGAUGAUGACCAUGCGGGGUCAAUUACAGACAAGAGGUCCACUACUUGAUAUUGUACCUUUGUUGGAGGAAAUUUAGUAACUUGGAGGAGCAAAAAACCGAAAGUGGUGGCUUGCUCUAGUGUUGAAGCUGAGUUUUGAGUAUAACAUAAGGUAUUUGUGAACUACUUUGGCUGCAAAUUAUUUUAGAAGAUUUGAAGAUAAAAUUGGAUGGACCUAUGAAGUUCUAUUGUGAUAAUAAGUCAGCAAUCAACAUAGCUCAUAAUCCCGUUCAACAUGAUCGAACAAAACACGUUGAGGUGGAUAGGAAUUUUAUCAAAUAUUUUUAUAUUUAUUAGUGACAAAUAUUUAUUUCACGUUUUCGGAUAUAUUAGUGACAAACAUUUGUCCUAUGUUUGUUAUGUAUCAGUUAUUAAUAAAUGUCUUGUGUAUAUUUAUCAUUGAUAAGUAUGUGUCCCGUGUUUUUAUUUUAUUUUAUUUUUUAUAUUCUUCGAUCUUAAAGCAACGAUGAUAGAUCAAGACCUAGAGUGAUAAUUGGUGCCAUUUAACAAAGAGUUUGCAAGAACAUUCCCAAGAUUUUUAUUUGGAUGCAUGAAAUAUGGAUUUAAGGUAUCAUUCUGGUAACCUUUGUGAUGAUGAGAAUCGUGUCCUCCAUUGACACUUCCAGCAAUACUAUCCAUAGACAUGAUGAAUCAACGAAAGGGAUUCACAGAGAAAAGAAAGAAGAGAUAUUUUUACAUUCUUAUGACAUAACUAACUACACACUAACUAUGAUUAAGACUAGAGAUGACUAUAGUUAGGAUGUUACAACUAACUGUUAACUGCCUCAAUAACUUGCAGAGCAACUUACUUAGUGUUCACUAUGUUUUGUUGUUGACAAAAUUCUUAUUUGAUGUUUUAAAAAUUACAAACAUAUUAAAUUUAUUUCAUCUUGUUAUCUACUAACUUGUUCUGUGAUAAUUAUUUCAUGAGAAUGAUCACGACAACAUUCUGGUAUCAUAAGACAAACAAAGCAGUUACGUCAAAAGACAAAUCAGCAAAAAGGCAAAAUUUAGCUUUACAAGAAUAUUUAACUUUUGAAUUAUUAAUAUCAAGAUCAAGACAUUUAUAUGCCUUAUUAAAGGAAGACAUAUAAUGUUCUGUCGAAAAGAAAAAAAAAAGAUAUUUAAUCAUUGUUGAUUGGCAAAAUGAAGAAAGAAAUGUUUUGGGCCUUAAAGAAGAUUUUUUAUCCAUUAAGGAAAAGAAACAAGUCCAUUAAAGAAAAAUAUCUCAUAAAGGCUUUAAGCACAUGUGAAUUAAAUGUGACAUCAUCAAAAGGACAAAAGAAUGACAUAAGCAUGUCACUUCUGACAACUAUCAACAACUCAUUAUAGCCGGAUAACUCUCACGUGGAAGCAUAAAGUAAGCUGGACAUCCAUAACCUUCUGGAUGUGUAAAUUAACAUUCUAGUCGUGUUGAAGAAGAAAAGUGAAAUCAAUUGAAACUUUGGAUAUCUAUAAAAAUGUGCCCAACAACUCUAUUUUCAUAGUUUAUCACCAACACACUCCACAUCUAUAAAUACAUGAAGACAUGAAGAAUCAAAACAAGUGUUUUGAAAGCAAGCAUUCUCUCGAGUGAAAAUCAUCACUAUAUACAAACUCUUCACAAACAAACAAAUUCUAAGUUCUCUCAAUAUAUCAUUUGGAUGAUACUCAUUCAAAUUUGUUUAUUUAAAUCUCAAACAUGUGUUGAGAAUUUCAUUUGAUCCAAACCCACCUCAUCAUACAAAGUGUAUUGUGUUCUCAAGUCUAUUGCUAACAAUAUUUUGAGAAGAAUUGACAACCUUUCUUGUCCAGAAUUAAAAAAUUGUAGAAGCCUACUAAGGUUUAUUUUACAGGAUUUAACGAACUGAUCUGGUGUGAUCAAGAAUUUAUGGUGCUAGUCAUAAGUUUCUGUUAGCAUGAUACUAUAGUGGAUAAUCUUACACAAGGUGUGGGGACUGAAAGUAGCCGAGUUUGGUGAACUAUGAUAAAUCUCAGGUGUUAUUCUUCUUCCCUUUCUCUCUUUAAUACUUAAUAAUCUCUCCAAAAUAUUGUGGUCCUAAUUAAUCACAAUCAAAUUAAUCCAAUGUUUUCUGGUCCUAAAUUGUUUCAUUUAAUAUUAAUUAUACAGAUGCAUUCAGAACAUUCUGAUGCAAGAUAAAACAAUUACAUAAAUAACUAAAGACAAACUCACGUUUAAAAUCAAAUUAUAAUAUUAUUUUAUCAUUCUGUUUUAUUCUCCAGAACAUUCUGGUCCUUGUUAAAAUAGUUUUACAUUUCAGCUUAAUAUCAUUUUUCUCAUUCUUCUUAUAUAUUAAAUAUAUAAUCAUUUAAUCAAAAACAUUAUGGUCCUAGAUAAAAAAGAAUUGUUAUAUAUCAAACACUCUAAUCUAAUUAGACUAACAUUUACCAAGAACCUUCUCUACUAAACAAACUUAUUUAAGUUUCAGGAAUAAUUUUAAAAGGGUCACAAUUCACCUCCUCCUCUUGCGACGUUUCUUGCUACUUCAUGUUCAACAUAGGAUUUUAUAUCACAACCAAGCGACUUUUUCACACCCACACACCCAUUAGUUAUCUAGCUGUAAUAAAAGCAUGUAAUUGAAUGAAUUAAAUGAAAAAGGAGUUAGGGUUUCAAAUAACAACCAUAUAGAUUUAGGGGUGGCCCUGAGGGCAGGCAGGAGGGGCAGUAACCUAGGGCACCAUUUUUUAAGAGGCACCAAAAUUAUUAUUUUUACUUAGUAGUUAGUACUAUAUAGAUAUAUUUCUUUUUAAUUCGUUUUGAUUAAUUAUAUUAAAAAUAUAUUUUUAGAGAACUUUAAUUGUAAAUGAAUCUUUUGUAACAAAAACUGCAAGAAGGAAAAUAUUGAAAUAAAUAAAACAACACAAUUUUAUUGUUUCGUCCAUGACACCAAAAAUCUCAGAACCAGCCCUGAGAAAGACUAUAAUGUUGUGGGGCCGCAUCUUUUCUUUUCUUAACAUGAAUGUGAAGAAAGACGAGAGAUUAUAAAAUUUAGAUAUUUUCUACGCUGCCCUUCUCUCUCUUCAUGUUUGUCUUUUGCAAAAUAACAUCAUUGUAAAAAUUAAAUUUAGUAUCUUAUACUCCCUCCAUUCCUUUUCUUUUAAUGUUUUAGAACUUUAAAUAUAUUCCAAAACUUUUGAUGUUUUAGUGAAUUUAUUAUUGUUUUCUCAAGUUUACCCUUUUCUUCCGAAGCAUAAAGAAUAACCUUCAACCAAGACAUAAACUCAAAAAGAAAAUGUUUAAAUUAAUAAUAAUAUUGAUUUUUAUGUUUGUUUUUUAUUGAACACGUAGAAAAUUGGUUUUCAAACAAACAUAACGUUUGGGAGAGUAUGUAACACUUGAGUUCGAUUCUAGAAUUGUCUAUUUGGAAGGCAGCUCAAUCUUGUAUAAAAAUAUGUCUCACAUUCAACUUGAAAUUAAAUGUCAUAGCUUGGUUAAACUAGAGCCAUGGACAGAUAAAGAGACUAUGUGAUCAAAUGUGGCUAUUUUGAUACAAGUCAUUUUGCCUUUUAAAAAAGAAAAAAUGAAUAGAUUUAAAGCAAUUGGUUAACAAAUCCAAGUCACACCUCAUCAAGGAAGGAAAAGUCAGCAUUUACUUAGCAUUCACAUAUCAAGACUUUUUGUUUAUGUUAGGCAAUUGUCCUACCUCAGGAACAAAGAGAAGAGGCCAAAAAAUAAGGUUAAAUAAUGCAAAGUCUCUGAUUCGAAGUACUUUGACUCUUUUUGUGGAUUUUAGGGAUGUUUGGUGGGUAACCUACACCAUUCAAUCAUUCCCAUCAUAUAAUUAAAUGAAUCUCACUUAAUAAAAUCAAGAAUCAUAUCCUGUUCUUCAUCAAAAUCAUAUUCCAAACCAAAUGAGUGUAUGACAUACGCUACAUAAAUUAUAAUAGAGUCUUGUUAACCAUUGUUCGGACAAUGGUUAAGGAACUUAAAAGUAGUAUGUUUGCAUUGGUUUUAAUAACUUUUAACUUUUAAAAAGUUAAAUUUAUCAGUUUUUAUCAUUUUUCAAUACUAUAUUUAUAUUUUUAUCCUCCAAUACCUCAAGAGCAAUGAUUAGCAUUCUCAUCCGUAAUAAUAUGAUUUACAUUUAAGAAAUUCAAGCCACCUUAGUCAUUAUUAAUCAUAUCCUCGAUUUUGACUUGUAAUAGGAGCUAGAACAGCUAGCGCAACAAUAAAUUUUUUGACAAAUACAUGUCCAUCAACAAGGACAGACAAAAUAUUUAAUUUUGUAAGAAAAAAAACUCAUUCAUAAAAUUAUAAUCAUGUUAAUAUAUGCUCUACGAACACAUGUUAAGAAUUCAAUAAAUAAUAACCAUUUAGACACAUGCUCGGAAACCACAUCAAACCAUAAGACGAGGCAAUGAUAUGCAAAUCACAUUUGGAAUCCUUCAACAACCAUAUAGGUUUUUCACACAUUCGAAGACCGUUAACUCACCUCACAUAAAUACAGGUAAAUCACACUUAAAGGUUAGAGUGUUUACAGGUAGAUCAUCCUCCUCUGCGACUCAUCAAUUGUGUCAUCGAUUUGGUUUACCCUCAGCUUCUUUUUUAUUGAUUGAUUAUAACUUUUUAAUAUAUCAACGACUAUAAUUAUUUACAUUAUAUAUAUAUAUAUAUAUAUAUAUAUAUAUAUAUAUAUAUAUAUAUUUCAAAGUCUAAAUUAGUAAAUGUGCACUUUUUUAUUUGGACAAAAAAGUCAUUCACCUUUAUUAUUUAAAACUAUUACAUUGAGGGUUACUUUUGUAACUUUAUUAUAAAAUAAUGGCUAAAAUAUGGUUUUAGCCCAUGUAAAUAUGUCUCGUUUUAGUUUUAGUCCAUGUAAAAAAAAAUUGUUUUUGGUCCCUGCAAAAUUUUUUGUUUUUGAAAAUAGUUCCUCAGGGACUAUUUUCAAAAACAAAACAUUUUGCAGGGACCUUUUUAAAAAACAAAAAAUUUUGCAGGGACCAAAAACAAAAUUUUCUUUUUACAGGGACUAAAACCAAAACGAGACAUAUUUGCAGGGACUAAAACCAUAUUUUAACCUAAAAUAAUUGUUAACUUGCAUCACUUAGCUAAUUACUUAGAUCCACUUUUGUUAUGAACACAACAAUUACAAACAUUAAACAACUAAAAAAAAGACAAAAUAUUUGUGUUUUUAGUAAAGACAAAAUAUAGUUAACUUGCACCACUUAGCUAACUUAGACUCACUUUUAAUUUUUUUUUUAUUAAUUAAAUGCAAUUGAAAAAAAUAACCUUCUAUGAAAAACAAUUGGAAUAUGGGUAAUUGAAUUUUAUUUUUUUUUCAAAUAAAAAUGUGAGCACUACUAGAAAAAGCUAAGAUACCGACGAAAUUUAGAGACGGAAUUAGAGACGGAAAAAAUCAAUGAGAGAAGAAAAUAAGGUGUUUAAAAUUCAUUAUCUGGUAGAACAGGUCUCGUGCGGUUGUUUCAGCGGGGUUGAUUUAGUCCUCAAUCCGAAGCUUCAUUACACUUGAAGCUUCUUAGUCGUGUUGUGUAGAAAUUAAACCUUAAUAUUUUGACUCAAAGCUCGUCAUGUGUUACUAAUAUCUAUUUCUAUUAAGUAUAUAUUUGUAUAACUGUGCUACAAUCUAUCAAUGGAUAUAAUCUAUCCACCUGUUUAUUUUAUAAAGAUUAAUUAUAUGAUUGUUUUAAUACAAAUAAAGACCUUAAAAGUUAAAAAAGUUAUACUCCAUAUUUCAAUACUCAAAUUUCAUGGUUGUCCAAGUAAGUUGUAACAUAUACUCAAAUUUCAAAAUAACAAUUCGUUAUUCAACAAAUUUGAAAAUGAUGCAAUGAUAAUGACAUAUAAUCAUCUUAACAUCAAAAAUAUAGCACAUGUAGUUGGAAAAAAAAAAAAAAAAAAAACGCAUGUCAAAAGUGUGUACAUUUAAGAUCGAUAAGUCAUUGUAGGAGUAAACCUAGCCACUUGUUGUACAUACAAUAUGAUAUAGAUUUUGAGAAAUGUUAUUUGUACAACUAUUUUGUGACAACUUUCUCUUUCAUACUCACAUUAUAUUCUUACUCUUUCUCAUCCUUUUUCUCUCUCCAUUAUUUUUGACCAAUACCAAAAGAGAAAAAGAAGGUUGUCAUGAAAGUUGUAUCAAAUGGUUAGCUCGAAAGAUUUGUAUGUUACUUUACCACAUGAUUUUUUUUUCGAACAAGUCAAAAUGGAAUAUUAUAUCAUCAAAGAUGGUUCAUCUCGCAUAAGGUAUGCAAAAGAGAAACACCCACCAAAAAAUACAGCUAGAUGUCUGGUGCCAUAAAAGAGCACUCCUGAAGAAAAACAGAAUAAAACAAGGCUACAAUAAAACACCCAUACAAUGUAAAGGGUGCCGCCAACAGUCAUGGUAACUAAAAGCAUAAGUAGACUUGUUUGCCUUUAACCAAGAAAAAGACAUCAAUUUAAUAUUUUCCCAAUAAUUAAUUAUUACACCUCUCUUUAAAUAUAAUAUAUUCUUAAGUAGUUUUUUUGUCUUUGUUAUAUGACCAUUAAUUUGUAUAAUUUUAUCCCAAUUAAUUUAUAUUUUUAAUUAAAUUAAAGAUGCAUCUAGUAUAACUUCUGAAAAAUGGUUAAAGAGUUGAACAUCACGUCCUUAAGGAGCAUGAACAAACUUCUUAAAAAUGGUUAAAGAGUAUGAAUGUCAACAUGUAUCUAUCAACCAAUUUUUUAAUCAAACUAACCUGUUCCAUAUGAACAUAACCUCAGAUAUGGACCAGCUCCAUGCAUGAGUGUGAGUUAGCUUAAAACUUAUGUUAUAUCUAUCAUUCUUUCUAAUAAUUUUAUUGAAUGAAUUCUAUUUUGCCCGUGCAAAAAAAGAAGUAAAAAUGAACCUUCUAGGAGAGCAAGGAAAAAAUUACUGGUUAAUGGUGAUUUUGACUGGUUUCUUAACUAUGAAGUUAUGACCUUGCACCAACGUUAAGGACUAAGUAUUUGAUCUAUUAAAUUAGGGUUACGAAAGCUCUAGUUUUGCUAAAUUAUGAAAAUACUAGUUUUGUUUAUAAUAGUGAUCAGAGGUAUAUAUCAAGACAUGUAUAUUGAUUUUGCUAAAUACUACUAAAUUGGUGAAAUUGGAAUUCCUAAAGUUUAAUAUCCCUAUAUUAGACGAUCAUAUAUCAAGACAUGUAUAUUGAAUUUGCUAACUUUGAAAACAGCAUACAAACCAAUAUAUUAAAAUAAGAGCAGUGUCAACAUUUUCUGGCAAAUAAGCUAACUUAUUCUUUUGUUUACAUUUCAUUUCAAAUUCAUACCCAACUUGGGACGCAUUGGUCCAAAAAGCAUACUCACUAAUUCAAAGGCAAUCCAUUUUUUUAAUAAUAGCUGCAUGUAUCAUAAUACUUUUCACAUUUGUAAACUUAAUUUUCAAAGGCAACCAAGAUGAAUAGUUGAGGUAAAUUGGACAAAGAAAAAACCAUAUACAAAUACGUCUAUUCCUCUCCACCACCACCACCACCACCACCAUCUAAGCCAUACAAAUACGCUUCUCCACCACCACCAGUUUACAAAUACAAGUCCCCACCUCCACCCGUCUACUCACCACCACCACCACCAGUUUACAAGUACAAGUCCCCACCUCCACCACCAGUUUACAAGUACAAGUCCCCACCUCCACCCGUGUACUCACCACCACCACCACCAGUUUACAAGUACAAGUCCCCACGUCCACCCGUUUACUCACCACCUCCACCAGUUUACAACUACAAGUCCCCACCUCCACCCGUCUACUCACCACCUCCCCCGGUUUACACGUACAAGUCACCACCUCCUCCCGUCUAUUCACCACCUCCACCAGUUUACAAGUAUAAGUCUCCUCCUCCUCCUGCUUACUCACCACCUCCACCACAUUAUAUCUACUCUUCACCACCUCCUCCUCCUCCUCCUUACCACCACUAAAUGGUGGUUUACGAUAGUAUCCCACCGUAUACUUCUUCCUAUGUACAACCCACACAAAAUACAUAAUAUUUAAAAUAUUUUUAUAUAAUUCAAUUACAGUGCUUAUAAUAUUAAUCCGAUAAAUAUCUAGUUGGGCAUAGCUUCAAAUAAAAAAAUUUGGUAACACACAUAAAUGAUAAAAUUUACCAGAUAAAAAUUUAGUGACAUCAUAUCCUUUCUUUUUUAAAUUUUAUCAUUGAUGUGUGUGCGUUUAAAUAAAGUGUUGUUGCUUUUGGAAAUAGGUUUAAAUGCGAAACUACAUAUACCUUUUAAAGUUUUAAUUUAAAAAAUUGGAUUGUUAAAAUAUUAUCAUUGGCAAUUUGUAACAAAAAAAAUGAGACCUGAUGCAGAAGGUGAGUCAUGAGGUCAUCCACUAUACAAUAUGAUCACAUUAUGAUCUUAUUAAUUUUGUUUGAUUUAAAAUUUCAAGCGAUUAAUAAUCCUAAUAAACAGUUUUAGCUAGAUUAUAUAAUGUUUAAGGCAAAACCAUUUUCUUAAUGAAAGAUAUUGAUAUAUUUAUGUGUACAUAUACUUUGCAGGGUUUGAGGAAUAUAAUGGAAAUAAUAAAGAGAAGACAGUGCAAAGCAGGAAAGAUGCAUCAAUUCACAAUUAUAUAGCACAAUAAAAACAACAACCUAAGCAGUUUCCACGCACUCUGAUUCAGAAAAUGUCACUCCUUUUUUCUUCAUUUUAUUUAUGAGAUUAUUAUUCUCAUUAUUGUGCUUUGAUGUUUGAAUUUAUACUGUUGUAAAGCACUGUGUGUAAUAUUAUUCAAAUAAAUAGAGAACGAUUCUGAAAUUUGUCAUAUUGUAAAGAAUUGAAUAUAUACGGUGGCAGAGCCAAUAAUUUUAUCGAGUUUGAAUAAAAAAUUUACCGCAGAUUCACAUGCGACAUAAUAUAUAAAUAGUCAUAAAUCGAAAUAAAAUAGGCUCAUCAUUUUAUCGAUAAAAAUUACAAUUUAUUUGAAAUAAGAAAGAUGAAACAUAACCUGUCAAUAAUGUGCUAAAUAAAAUUAGAAGGUAAAUGCCCUUCCCGAGACCUCUUUGCGGUGAAUGUUCGAAUAAUAUCAACAACAUCAAGUGACUUGAAUUUCUCCCACUCGGUGUAACAUAUCAUCAAGUCAUUGAACCACACAAUGUUGAUCUUGUUGGUAACAAUUUUUUCUCACGGGCUUAUAAGAUUAUUUUACCAGCUUAUUGACAGGGCUUGAUAACUGAUGGACUUUCAACUUUUGUUGAUGUUUGUAAUAACUUUGGCGCACCCGCUAUUGUUGAAGAUCCACAAAUUAGAAGUUAAAAUCUGAUUCAUUAUGCUUUGAUGUAGAAAUGAUUGUAAGUUUUUUUGGGUAUGAAGUGAUUGUAUGUCUUUUUUUUUUGUCUAAUAAGCUAUUAUAAAUAGUGAUUCAAAUUUUGUUACCAUAAAUUAAAUGAGCAAUGGAGUAUAUGUAAAUUUUGAUUUAUGCGAGUAUUGAGUAUUUCCGUGAGUAUUGGUUUGGAUGAAUGGUAUAAUAGUUCAUAGUUAGGGAGAAUUAUUCUAAUUAAGCCACUUCAAGAAUUUAUUCUAAAAAUUGAUUAUUGUAAUCAAUUUUAAAUUCCAAUAAUAUUGAUUAUAAUAUUUUAUUAUAUUUAUUAAACUAAUUUUAGUAGUAAUUUUAUGAAUUAUUCCUUUUUAGAAUUUAUAGUAGAAUAGAAAAUAUAAAAUAAAAUAAAACAAUGAUAAGAUUUAGUGACAGCCGCAACCGCAGGUAUAGGUCCGUAAUGUUUUUAAAAUGGUCUACUUGGAAUUACAUACGUUUUGUCCGUAGGUAAAGGUGGAAAAUAUGCAGCGACAUCCAUUUGACAAUGACAGACGGAUUUAGCUACGGAAAUUUAUCCUAGAGUGACGGAUUUUUGUUGUCACUACAAGUUAAAUUUCUUGUAGCGAUACAAAGAAAGUAUCGGUUAAGCCCGGGCAUGUACCCAGACUAGAUGGGUUGUAAAACCGCUCCUGAAAAUAUACAGAAUACAUGCAUGAUUCAAAAACUAUCUAAUUUUUCUGGAAAAAAGGCUAAACUGCAGUUUUGACCUCCUAACUUUGUAAAUGUUGGGAUUUUGGCCCCCUUUUAAAAAAAUGAAAAUUUUCCUCCCCUAUGUUUUAGCCCCUUUGCAAAAGUGACCAUUUGGUCAAUUUUGACCGGGUCAACACGGAGGUGGCACUUCAUUAAUGGUGCGGGCACGCUACAUGUGUAUUUCGCAAAUUUUUUAAAUCAAAAUGCCACUUGUGUAUUUACUUGAAUUAAGAAAAAAAAAACUAUAUAAAGGUCUUGCACGUGUGAAGUCUUUCAGAUUCUAGGGUUAAAAAAUUUCCCAAAUAUUAACAUCAAUGAAAAACCACAAACCCCUAAGUUUCCAAAUCAAAUCUUCAUCCAUAAUCUCCUUCCCAAAUUGUUUCUGAAUUCGAAUAUCCUUCAUAAAUCGAUUGUCAGGUUUUUCUUCAUCUUUGUUUGUUGCGAAAAUGAAAUGGGUUGAAGAUGGAAAGGCGGCGACGAGUACAGGUUCGAAGAAGAAGAAGAAUAAAGAUGCGACAGGGAGUACAGGAACAAAGAAGAAGAAGAAGGAUGCGACAACGACUAAAGGUUCAGAGAAGACGAGAGAUUUGAAUAUGGAAGUUCAAUCAACUCAAGGAAACAUGUUCAAUGGAAAGAUUCCCGACAUGGAUGCUUCAUAGUAAGCGUUUUUUUGUUUUCAUAUGUCUAUUAACUAUAAAGUAAAGCUCAUGUUACAUUAUUUCUGAAUAAAAAAGGGUUGUUGGACCCAGAAACAGUUGAAGAUGAAUGGUUACAUGCCAUUUUUCGUUUUCCGAUCUGCAAACACACAAAACAAAUCGACCUGGAAGAAAGGAUGUAGAGGAAGAAUCGAUUUCAGAUAGGUAAUGUGAAGGAUGGUUGAAGAAGAUGAAGUUUCGAUUAUGGAGAAGAAUGGAUGAAGAAGAGCGAAUGAAGAAGAAAGGUUGAAGAAUUGGGGGUUUUUAAGGUUGGAGAUUUUUACCGUUGGAACUCUCACGUGCCAAUCCUUUAUCUAUUAUUUUUUUUAAUUCAAGUAAUACAUAGGUGGCAUUUUUAUUUUAAAAAAAAUGGCAAAAUACACAUGUGGCGUGCCAACACCAUUAAUGAAGUGCCACCUCCGUGUUGAUCUGGUCAAAAUUGACCAAAAUGUCACUUUUUCAAAGGGGCUAAAACACGGGGGGAGGGGGGGCAAAAUUUUGAUUUUUUUUUUAAUAGGGGGACAAAAUCGCAACAUUGACAAUGUUAGGGGGGACAAAAUCUGCUCCUUUCCGUCCCUUUGGUUUCGAUAAGAGUGGUUAAGUACCAUAUUGAGUGGUUUUAAUCGAGCGAUUAAGCCAUAUCUUUUAGGUGUAUAUACUCGAACAAUUACAUAUUGUGCAAUACGUGAUUGAAUAGUGAUAUGAGCUGUUUUAUUCUGGAGGCGACGCGGUUGUUAGUCUACAUUGCACAAACUUGGGUAGUGCCGCGAAACGUCUUAAAGAGAGCGACCUGGUCGUGACUCAACCUGAUAAUUUAUUCGGUACUAGUUUCUGAUUUGUAAUCUCAACAAAUAUCUCAUGAGCUAUAUUCUUCGGUAGUAGGCUUCAGUUUAUGUCCAACAAUAUAAAUAGGGGGAUUCGAAGAAUCCUAACCGUUGCUUACUUUUCUGUAACCAAAACAGGUAACUUGCUAUGUUGCAAACAGAUAAACAUUGCAAUCUCUAACCUUUAAACUCUUUUAUUUUAUAUCGUCACCUUAAAAUAAGUAACGUGAAUUGUUAGGACGAAAUGACAAUCCAUGUGGAUACGAUACUGUACUUAUCACUUUAUUACUUGGUAAACGAUUUGGUACACUUGCAUAAUCCGCACAUCAAUAAUCUUUGUUUGUUAGAAGUUUCUUGCUUGUAUGCUUGAGCAUUGAAAGUCUCUUGCUUGUGUGGCUGAGCAAUUGUAAUCUUGUAUGAUUAUAGUAAAAAAUCUCUUGUAAGUGACAAGGGUAUUAAACUACUUCGGGAUUGAUACCUUGAAACGCUUACCAGAAGGCCAUCGACAUAUAAAUAGACUUUACACAUCUUGUGCUCCAAUGUGUACCUUUAAUAUAAGUCAUUUUGCCUAUUAAAAAAGCAAAGAUGAAUUGAUUUAAAAGUUAACAAACCCAAGUCACACCUCAUCAAGGAACAAAAAGUCAGCAUUUACUUAGCAUUCAUAUAUCAAGACUUUUGGGUUAGGUUAGGCAAUUGUACCACAUCAGGAACAUUUAGAAGAGGCCAAAAAAUAAGGUUAAUUAAAUAAUGCAAAGGCUCUAAUUCGAACUACUUUGACUCUUUGUGUGGAUUUUAGGUAUGUUUGGUGGGUAACCUAUAUCAUUCAAUCAUUCCCAUCAUAUCAUAUAAUUAAAUAAAUCCCACUUAAUAAAAUUGAGAAUCAUGUUCAUGAUCAAGUUGGUGUAUGCUUAGAACAGUCUCAUGGUAUAAUUAAUUUGUCCCUACUGAACAAAAUCAUAAUUUAGAAACAUUCAUAAAUUAUAAAUAAUAAUACAAUCUUAGUCAUUUAUUAAUCAUAUCCUCAAUUUUGACCUGCAAUAGGAGCUAGCACACAGCUAGCGCAGAAAUAUAUUUUUUCCAAAUUCAUGUCUGUUACUUAUAGUUGUCAAAAAAAAAAAAAAUGUCUAUUACUUAUAGAGACAGAUCAAUUAUUUAUUUUUUACAAGGACAAAAUUCAUACUUAAAAUUAUAAGACUAAAAGUAUAUAAAAUACUUUAAUUAGAGUCUAUCAUUGACUAAGGUAAAGGUUAGAGUUUUUACAGGUAGAACAUUCCAUCAACUGUGGUUUACCCUCGACUUCUUUUUUAUUUAUUUAUUGAUUAUAACUUUUUAAUAUAAAAACAACCAUAUUUUUUAAAUACAAAUAACUAUAAUCAGUUUUCUUAUUUAUUUGCAGCUUAAUUCAGUUGGUUUGAAUAAUGCAUAAUAUAUGCAAGGUCCGUGGUUCAAAUCCCGGCCACCACAAAAAAAAAUGUAUUGUAAAAAAAAUGUAUAAUAUAUAUAUAUAGACACACACUAUAUCUUUUUCAACUUUUUUGGGCUGACUUUUUCUAUUUCUAAAAAUGUCUUCAAUUUUCAAUACAAAAACACAUGUAACAAAUAGAUAAGAACAAACGUAAAUAUUAAAAAAAUGUAACAAACUCGAUAUGAAUAUAUAUAUAUGUGUGUGUGUGUGUGUCUGGUUUUUUCCUUUAUCAUUUAAAAAGUGUAACAAAUAGAUGAGUAUAUUUAUACUUACUUUUUCAUUAUCUCAAUUAUAUCUUUAAACAAUUUUUUUUUCUAUAAUAAAGAUUGUUGUUUUUAUCAUUAAAAAAAAAUUAGAUUAUAUUUUUUUUGUUAUAUUGUUGGUGUCAUUGAAAUAGAUAAUCAUUGUUAGUUUGAUUUGUUAUAACUUAAAGCAACAAACAUUUAUGUUUUGUUAGAAUAAAAAUCAAAAUUUAUUAAAAAAAACAUGCGUUCAUAAAUUGCAAUAAAAAGAAGGGAAAUAGAUGAGUUUGAACAGACUUUUUCAUUACUUGUUUUAACCUUCAUUUAAAAUAUUUUAUUUACAAUUUUAUCAUUUAAUAAUAUUAUUUUAAAUUUUAAUCAAAAAAUUGAAUCCUAUUAAAAUAGGAAAUAUGCCACUACAAUAGAAACAAUAUUAUCAAUAUUAUAUAAGAAGAGGAUAGAUAUUUUGAGCUGAAUUUUUAUAAUUCCAAUUAUAUUCUUAAACAAAUUUUCUUAUAUUAAUGUUAUAUUGUUGGUGGUAUUAAAAAAUAGUAUUUAUGUUAUAUUUGUUAAAUUAUUAUUAUUAUUGAAAAAGAUAACAUGUUUUUCUGAGUUUAUACUUAUAAUUUUGUUACAUACUCUCGUUUCUUGUUUUUUUUUAUUAAAUAUAUAUAAACAACGGAAGUGACCCUUCCCGUAUAAGAUGUGUUAAGGAAGGUCAACUAGAGUUUGUACAAAGACAGCAAAGCCAAAAACAUAGGAGAACUGCCGCAAAACACGAAAGAUAUAAUAAAUAAGGGUUGUUUUUUCUUUCUUUAAAAAAAAAACAAAAAGAAAUAAGGGUAGUGUUAACUUGUGCUUUUAAGACACAAGUUAAGAAUUUAAAAAUGGAAUUAAAUCAUAAAUUAUGUCUUGAAAAGAUAAGAUUUUGAAUUUCUAGAAUAUUGAAUGCACAAUUUUCAACAAAAUAUUUCUAUUUUUAGUUUCUUAACUUGUGCCUUGAGUACAAAAAUUAACAUUUCCUUGCAAAUAAAUGCCCAAACAAAAUAAAUGUAAGUAUACUCUCGUUUCUAGUUUGUUUAAUAUCUAUUUCUAUCAAGUAUAUAUUUGUAUACUUUAUGCUACAAUCCAUCAAUGGAUAUCAUAUAUACAUUCACCUGUUUAUUUUAUAAAGAUUAUGGAACAAUUAUAAACACAAGGAAAAAGUAGAAAACAGCGAGAGAAAGAAAGAGAGAACACAAAAUAAUUUGUUUACCCAGUUCGGUUCAAAUUGACCUAGUCCGAGGCAGAGAGCAGCCCUCCGUUCCACUAUAAUGAUGAGUAACUUUACAAAAGAGAUAUCAAUGAGUUACAAGAAUAAGUCUCCAAACCUAAUUGUACCCAAAGUCUCAAUCUCUUCCCGUGAACAAGAGACUCAAUCCUAAUAGUGUUUCCCAAGGUGAAUCAACAACAACCCUAGUUUCUCCCGCUUAGAGAAAUCUCUCUAAAACCUUGGUUUGUUGUCUGUUUCUAAACCCUUGUUUUCAGCCCCUUCUAUCUCAAGGUUUACAUGUGAUACAAGGUUUAUAUUUAUAGUAAAAGUAAUCGCUAAAAAAUUGGAACAAAUCUCACGCUGAAAAGUACAUUUUAUUUUUAUGCAUCAGUGUAAAAUCGUACUACGAUUUUCCAAAUCGUAUUUCGAUUUUUCCAAAAUGGAAGUGCCAAAUCUGAUCCAAAAAUCGUACUACGAUUUUCCAAAUCAUGCUACAAAUUUGACAGCUUCCAGAUUUUAAUUUUGAGUCACUUUUACAACAAAGACCUUAAAGUUUGUGGUAUUAUAUACUUAAUAUAAUACUCCCAUGGCAACCUGAUUAGCUCCCUUGUUAUUAGAAAGUUACACGCAAUUUCAGGGUUUGGUUGUAUUAUAUCCUGUCCAGCUAAGUUGUAACAUACUCAAAUUUCCAAAUAAAAAUUCGUUAUUCAACAAAUUUGAAAAUGAUGCAGUGAUAAUGACAUAUAAUCAUCUAACACAUGUAAUCAUAUAACCAGUUUGGCUAGGUGAUACUUAUGGUAGUUGGACAAAAAAAAUAUCACAUGUCAAAUGUGUGUACAUUUAAGAUUGAUAAGUCAUUGAAUGAGAAACUUAGCCACUUGUUGUACAUACAAAUAUUUGUACAACUUUUAGAUAAUUUUCUAUUUUAUAUUCACAUUAUAUUUUUACUCUUUUUUUUUCUUUUUUUUCUUUAUUGUUUUUUAUCAAUAAAAAUAGAGAAAAUGAAAAUUAUCAAAAAUAUUGUAUCAAAUGGUUGUUCAAAUAUUAUUGCUCAAAAUAUACAAUAUGAUAUAAUUUUCCAGGAUCGAAAGAUCUAAAUAUGUUCCUUUCCCACAUAAUUAAUUAUUACACCUGUCUUUAAAUAUAAUAUCUUUUUUUUUUUUAAUUUUUAGUAGUUCUCAUGUCUUUGUUAUACGACCGUUAAUUUGUAUAAUUUUAUUUCCAUUAAUUUAUAUUUUUUUUAAUUAAAUCAAAGGUGCAUCUAAUAUACUUUUUUUUUAAGAGGCUAAAAUGAAAUACAUUACCAAAACAAGAUAUUUUUCCUAGCACAAGAUGUACAAAGGAAGAACAAUAGAGUCAAUAGAAUAUGUACAAUCAAGCAGAAAGAAAGCACCAGAGACCUAUAAGCAUGAAACAGAACUAAGUAGUGCCCAAAAUAACUAAUGGACUAAGCAACAAACCAUGAAAAUUAAACGAAAGAGAGACAAGUUUCGCCUUCAACCACGUAAAGGAAAGAACCUUAAUCUAAUAUAACUUCUUAAAAAUAGUUAAAGAGUUGAACAUUACCACCUUAAAGAGUAUGAACAAACUUUUUAAAUAUGGUUAAACAGGAUGAAUGUCACGUAUUUACAGUACAUAUAUCUUUGGUUUUUAUAUGUGUUUAGUCUCUGUAUAUGGGGUCAUUUAAAAAAUUAAUCAUUUAAAAUGGUCUCUACAUUCCUUCAUUAUGACAUUUUGCCCUCCCAAAAAUUAAUCAUUAAAAAUUUGGUCCCCCCUACUCAAUCACUGUCACGUCACUGGAUUAGCUGACGUGGUACAUUGACUCAGCAAAGUUUGAUGUGAAGUGACAAAAAUAGCCCUAACACUCUGUUUGGUAUGAGAGAAUUACAGCAGAGAGAGAUAUUGAAGAGAGAAAGAGAAGAGAAAUAUGGUAUUUCUCUUGUUUGGCAAAGGCAAGAAAGAGGGAGGAGAGAUAAGUUUUGCGUGGGAUCCACGUGUUUUUUGUUCGCCCCUAUAAACGAAGAAAGAAGAAAGAGGAGAGAAAUAUACAUUUACUCCCUUUGCCUUUUAUACCCUUCAAUUUAAGACACAACACACCUUUUUUUUUUCUCAUUACUUUGUUUUUAUUCUUAAUAGGCUUAUCUAAAAAUUAUUUCAAGGACAUUUGUACUUUAAAAAAAAAAAAAUUGAAGAAGCUAAACUAACCCCCUCAAAUUGGCACUAGAGAGAAUCGAACUUGAAACCUUGAGGAGGAGCACACUCCCAGGUCCCAAGCCAAUACCACUAGGCCAACCCAAGUGGGUUUGUACUUUUAAAAAUUAAUCACACUUCUCUCUCUUCUAUUUCUCUUAAUUUUAACCAAACAAUACCUUAAAUCUAUUCUAUUUUUCAUUUUUUUCUCUCUUCUCAUACUCUCUCUCACCUAUUUCUCUCUUCUCAAUUUCUUCUUUCAACCAAACACACCCUAAGUAAUUUCGCUGCCCUCUUAUGGAAGGAGGGGCAUUUACUUUACAAGUAAAUAAAGUAUCUUUUUUAAUUUAAAAUUUCCUCUUUAUGGUUUUCUUAACUAAUGUCCUGGGUAGGGCUAGACAAGGACCCGCGACCCGGCCCAACCCGAAAAAACCGAAGAAAAAAAACCGAGCUGAGUGGGUUAAAGCAGGUCCGCGGGUCAAACGUGUCAUAAAUGCGGGUUCACAAGGGUAUACAUGGGCAGAGGCGGGUAACGGACCUUCACCUGCGGGUACCCGAACCCGCCAGUAUUGGAUAAGUAAAAACGACGUCGUUUUGAAGAGUGGGGAGACCACUAACCCUAGAUCUAACCCAUUCAUUUCAUUUCUUCUAAAAAAUUCUCUCAUUCACCUCACACUCUUUCACCUUCCUCUUCAAACCCUAGUGCCGCCGCCGCAUCUAACCACCACCACCACACCAUCAAAUCCUCCUACCAACAUGAAUCACCACUUUCCAACUUGAUUCCCUUUGUUUUACGCCGUUCUCUGUCAAUCCACGCAGAAAAAUGGAGGCAGAUCCUGAAACUCUCUCUCACUCUCAGUAGCUAACACCACUGUAGAACCGUAAAUCGCCGUCGUUUUUGUUUCAUGAAUCACGUCUCUGCUCUGCAUAUGCUUCAGAUCUAAAGGUUAGAUAUUUUGUUUUUAAUCUUUGUAAUUUUUUAUUUUUAUUUAGGGUUUAUGAGUGUCUCACCACAUGCUUUUGUUUUUGUUUGAUGAUUCACAUCCAUGCUCCGCGUAUGCUUCAAAUCUGAAGGUUGGUUUUUGUUACAUUUUUCAUAUUUUGUGCUUUGAUUUUUUCAAUUCUUGCUUCUAACAUUUUUUUUUUGUUUCAAUCUCAUCUCUGCUGCUUAUGCAUUUGCUGAAGAUUUUUUUUUUGUUUCAAUCUCAUUUUCUCAGACCGGCUUAGGAAACUUCCAUAUCACUGAAUAUUUUUCCAGAUCCGAGAGGUAAUCUUCCUUCUUGACAUCUAGAUCUGAGAGGUAAUGAUUUAUCUUAAUAUAUUUAGUUUUGUAUUUGUUGAGUUUAUCUAUGUCUUUGAUGUAUAUUUUGUUGAGUUUAUGCAUGAUUAUUAAUGUCUAUAGCUUCUGACUUGAUUAUGUUUAUGCAUACUUUGUUGAUUCUUAUACUUCUUCCUUGGAGUUCAUUUUUUCUUUGUUUCUUUCUUAUCCUAAUGGUUUGUUGUUUAUCUAUUUAUUUUGUUUGUAGUAUUCUAAUGGUCCAUUAAUUAUCUUGUUUGUAUAGACACAUGAAAACUGAUACUGCUAGUGUGAAUCCUUUGGCUCAAAUUCCAAUUCUAGUGCAAGGCCAAGGACCUGAACAUGCUAAGGUAGUGCUAAAACUAAAGAAAAGAAAACCUGCUAGACCUCCUUCAAUGGUUUGGAGACAUUUUAUGAAGAAAAAAGACACUGCCUUUUGUAACUAUUGCUUCACUUCUUUUGUUUCAAAUGCUUCCAACCAUCGAACUAACAACAUGCUUAAACACAUGAUGAUUUGUCCAAAAACAUGAAGGUAGUUUUUUUAUUACUCUGAGUUAUGUUGAUUUAGUAAUUUUAUUGUAACUUUGUAUUUGAUUUAGUCUAUUUUAACUCUAUUUUGGUAGAUGUCUUUGAUGUUAGUUUGCUAGUGUUAUAUUUUGUGGCUUUGAUUUAUUAGUACUAAUGUAUAUUUUUUAUAUUGUUUUUCACAGGUUAACAAUAUUCUUACUUGCUAUGAUGGUAUCUCUUGAUCUAUUGUGAAUCAAGAUAUACCAAGGAGGUGUUAUUUUUUGUUAUUCAGAUCCAGUUUUAGUAUUAUUAUAUUCAAGACCACUAUAUUUAGUUUUUUAUUUAUUAAGGAUAUGUAAAUUGUUAAACUUAUUUUUAUUGGUUGUGUAAGUUAAAUUAAGGCUCGAUAUCAAAUGGGAAAAUGAGACAUCAUCAUCCCCCUUUAACAAGCUUCUUAAAGGAAAAAAUUUAACAAAAUUAUGACAAUAUGAUCUAAGUUAAAUAAACAUACAAAAUGGUUUAAUACAAGAGAAAAUGAAACACUACAAAAUUUGUUGGGGCAGAAAUUCUAAAUGGCACAUUAAAAAUGAACAUAAAAAAUGGUCCAUUACAGUGAAAUUAAAAAUAAAUCGCAACAAAAUUAAUUGGGCCAGAAAUGGUUGAAUGACCCAUUAAUUGGUCCAACCCGUUUGAACCCAACCGUUUAACCCGUAACCCGAUUCACCCGAACCCAACCAAUCCGACUCCAUUAUUUGGGUAGAAAUGGGUGUGUAUUCUACACCCGCAGGUUGGGCUGGAGUAGAGGUUUGGACCCGAACCCGCCCGAUGUCCACCCCUAGUCCCGGGGCACUGGUUAACAUAAACCUAAAACAAAAAUAGAAAAUAAUGACCUAAGUUUUCUAAUAAUUGAUAUUUUAUUAGCUUAAAACUUUUGUUAUAUCGAUCAUUCCUUUCCACUCUUUGUUCUUGGUUGUGUUUUAAUGAAAAAAAAGAAGUAAAAAUGAACCUUCUAUGAGAGCAAGGAAAAAAUUACUGGUUAAGCCUUAUGACCUUGCACCAACUCUAAGGACAUUAAUUAUGUUAUAUAGCAAGAUAUCCUCUCAUAAAUUGGUGAAAUUGGAAUUCCUAAAGUUUAGUUUCCCUAUAUUAGACGAUCAUAUAUCAAGACAUGGAUAUUAUUUUGCUAACUUUGAAAACAGCAUACAAACCAAAAUAGUACGUAUUAAAAUAAGAGCACCGUCAACAUUUUCUAGCUAAUAAGCUAACUUACUUUAUUCUUUUGUUUACAUUUCAUUUCAAAUUCAUGCCCAACUUGGGACGCAUUGGUCCAAAAAGCAUACUCAUUUAUUCAAUGGGAAAAACUUUUUUUAAUGGGUCUUGCUGACCAUUGCUCGAUGGCAAUGGUUAAGGAAGGCAAAAGUAGCAUGUUUGUAUUGAUUUCAACAACAUUUUGACUUUUAAAAAAUUAAAUUUAUCACUUUUCACCAUUUACCAAUGCUAUAUUUCUAUUUUUAUCCACUUAUCCAAUGCGCCAAACGCAAUGAUUAGCGUUCUCAUUUUUUAAUAAUAGCUGCAAUGUUACAUAAUCGUUUUCACAUCUGUAUACUUAGUUUGUCUUAAAAAGACAGUCACAUUGAAUAUUUAAUUAAAAUUUUAUUUUUAUUCAAUUAUACACUAUAAUUGAUAUUAAGCGCCAUUAAAAAAAUUAUUAAGUGGAUAACAAAUUAUUAUUCACUAUAAUUUUACUAUAAUUAUUAUUCUUCACUUUGAAUUACCAAGGUAAUUUAAUAAAAUUAAUAUUCUAUGUGACGUAUUUGUAAUUACUUCCUAAUUCACGUGAAAUGAUUUACUUUGCUAGUUAUUAGAAUUUUAAUUUAUUAUAAUAUUUUUCUUUUUGCUGUUGGAUAAUAGGUGAAUUAUAAAAUGUGUCAAAUCAUAGUACACCAACCAAGAUGAAUUGUUGAGGUAAAAUGGAUAAAGAAAAAACUAUAUAAAGGGUACUACUAUCUUUCAUAAGAGCAACAACAAAACACACUUUAGGAAAAUAUGAGGUUCCAAAUGGCCUCCAUUACUCUUACUAUUGCAUUCACGAUAAUCUCUCUUAGCCUGCCAUCCCAAAUUUCAGCAAACAAUUACGUCUAUUCAUCUCCACCACCACCAUCUAAGCCAUACAAAUACGCUUCCCCACCACCACCAGUUUACAAGUAUAAAUCACCACCCCCACCUGUCUACUCACCACCUCCACCUGUCUACUCACCACCACCACCAGUUUACAAGUACAAGUCACCCCCUCCACCUGUCUACUCACCACCUCCACCAGUUUACAAGUACAAGUCCCCACCUCCACCCGUCUACUCACCACCUCCCCCGGUUUAUAAGUACAAGUCACCACCUCCUCCCGUCUAUUCACCACCUCCACCAGUUUACAAGUAUAAGUCUCCUCCUCCUCCUGCAUACUCACCACCUCCACCACAUUAUAUCUACUCUUCACCACCUCCUCCUUACCACCACUAAAUGGUGGUUUACGAUAGUAUCCCACGGUAUACUUCUUAUUACAUACAACCCACACAAAAUACUUUUAUAUAAUUCAAUUACAGUGGUUAUAAUAUUAAUCUGAUAAAUAUCUAGUUAGACAUAGCUUCAAAUAAAAAAAUAUUUGGUAACACAUAUAAAUGAUAAAAUUUAGCAGAUAAAAAUUUAAUGAUAUCAUUUAAUAUCUUUUCUUCUUAAAAUUUUAUCAUUUAUGUGUGCACGCCCAAAUAAAGUGUCGUGGCUUUUGAAAAGUUUCUUAUAAACCUUGUGGAAAUAGGUUUAAAUGUGAAAUUACAUAUACUUUUUAAAGUUUUAAUUUAAAAAAUUCGAUUGUUCAAUCUUUUAAAAUAUUAUUAUUGGCAAUUUGAAACAAUAAAGUUGAGACCUGAUGCAGAAGGUGAGUGCAUGAGGUCAACCACUAUAGAUUAUGAUCAUAUUAUAGAACUUAGCUAGAAAAGAAAAAAUAUAGUUAUAUGCUUCUUAUUAAUUUUGUUUGAUUUAAAAUUUCAAGCGAUUAAUAAUCCUAAUAAACAGUUUUAGCUAGAUUGAAUAAUGUUUAAGGCAAAACCAUUUUCUUAAUGAAAGAUAUUGAUAUAUUUAUGUGUGCAUAUACUUUGCAGGGUUUGAGGAAUAUAAUUGAAAUAAAGAGAAGACAGUGCAAAGCAGGAAAGAUGUCACUCUGAUUCAGAAAAUGUCACUCUAUUAUUUUUCAUUUGUUUGUUUUAUGAGAUUAUAUUCUCAUUAUUGUGCUUGAUGUUUGAAUUUAUACUGUUGUAAAGCACUCUGUGUAAUAUUAUUCAAAUAAAUAGAGAACGAUUCUGAAAUUUGUCAUAUUGUAAAGAAUUGGAUAUACCUAAUAUUUGAAUGCAUUUUCGAUCCCUUAACUUUUAAAAAAUUGUGAUUUAUAGAAAUAUAGUCUUUUAACCCUUUAUUUUUAGUAAAAUAUGUUCUUUUGUCCCUCUAUCUUUAGGGAAAUAUGCUAUUUUGAUUUCUUAUUUUUACAAAAAGUAGUAAUUUUGCUUGCUGUUUUAGAACACGUGGUAUCUUCUCAACAGUUUUGCUGCAUUUUGUAAAUUAAAGGUAAAAUAAUUUUUUUUUUUAUUAGAGGAUCAAAAUCGCAACUUUUUAAAAGUUAAAUCAUCAAAAAUACAUUUAAGCCUAUACAUAAUACAUUAUAUGCAAACUUCAAAAACUAUCUAAUUUGAUGGCGGUAUAUGUCAAUCACUUUAUAUCCUAAUCAUCCUCUAUUUCAUGUUGGAUCUGUCUAACUUUUUGAUGAUAUGGAUAGUGGGUCCAAUCAAGGUGAUUCAAUAUCCAACGGAAACGUCUAAACACGUUUUGACUUCCAACAUAAGGCAUUGCCCCUAACUUCGGUUAACAAUAUUGGGUUUCAGUAAUAACAAAGAGACGGCUAGAGUUGUUUAAUAAUAUUUUAAUAGCAUUACGUUACAAAAGGUUAUUGGAGAAUGUAUAUAUAAAAUCUAAUAAACAACUAAAUUAGUAAUAUAAAUAUCCAAUAGUUUAAACUCAAUCCUUUAUUAUCUAAUUUCUUUUCUCAAAUUCACGACUCAUCAACAAGAAGAAUUAUGAGUUUGUCAAAUCAAAUAGGAGGACGAACGAAGCGGAAGCUGGUGGGCAUGUAACGUCUGAGGCUAACGAGGAUUGAGAGUGGUCGCUGGUGCACAAGUUAAGAGGAUGAGCUGCUCCUGACAUCUUCUAGUCAAACCGAAUCACAUUGGAAUGAGAGGAAUCCUGAGACCGUGCAGAUAUGAACUGCAUGAUUGAAGAAAGACUUAUAAAUUUUUUUGGCACUAUCUAUAUCAACAAGAUGCAUCUUCUUUUUUAUAAUUCAUUCCAUAAGAACUCCACAGUUAAGCAUGUUUGACAUGGAGCAAUUUUAGGAUGGAUGACCUUUUAGAAAGUUUUCCAGAAAACGUGUGAGUUUGGACAAAACACACUGAAAAGACUCAUGUUGGUUUUGGGGUCAGUCGGUCAGCAAUACUUAAAAUCGCCUCAAUAUUAUAAGAAACAUAAUAAAUAAUAUAAAGUUCUAACACUGCCCCUCAAAUGAAAGAUGGAAUGAUAUUGAAGUGAAAACUCGCGCUAUAUUGAGUGAAAUUUUAUAAACUUUCAGUCUUUAUUUCUGUCAAUGUUAGUUUUUUUGGUCAUCUAACUCAAAUUUGAAAAUUUUCCUGUUAUCUUGAACAGUUUCUAGUUCACUUUGUUAAGUUACUACAACUAAUAAAAAUACACUGAAUUUUCAAUCUAGAGACAUAAUUCAGUUUAUUUUGAUGAGUAGCAAAUUUUUAUUCUUUUUGAAAUCAUAAAAUCCUGAUCCUUCACUUUUACUCAAAUUAUAUAUGUCCGUUGUCUUAAGAUAGAUGGACAUUUAUAUGAAAGUCUUGGUUUGAUUCAAGUUGAGUAAAAUAUGGUCAAAUUUGGGGAUUAAAAAUACAUAGUAUUUAUAUUUUGCUUAUGUCAUAUAAGCUGCUAUGAUCUAUUUCCUCUCACUUUUAUAGGUCUUGGUGUUGAAUAAGAAACUAAGAUUUUAAAUUGUAGUUGAUUCGCGGAAUGAGCAAAGUGAUCCUAGUGAGCUAGUUUCAAAGGGUUGUGAACUACAAAGUUUGAUGGGCGAACCAGAGGUGAGGUCAAAGAAAGGAAUUGAAGAGGGUUUCAUGGAAGAAGCAAGUGAACAUUCGAUAGGCAAACAACAUUUCUCCUAGCCAAGUAAGGCGGUGUUAGUGACCCUUUGUGUUGUGAAUUCGAUGAAAAAUCACACCAAUAACAACUUGAUGUGUGGAGCAAGGGAUAAUUAAGCAACCAAAAUCAAAGCGUAUGAAAGUUAUAAAUACAAGCCAAAAGUAGAAAACAACGGCGAGAAGAACACAAAGAAGAAGAAGAACACAAAGAAACUUGUUGACCCAGUUCGGUCCAAUCUGACCUAGUCUGGGGGAGAGAGCAGCCCUCCAAUCCACUAUAUGAUGAGUUUCGUUACAAAGAGAAAUCAAUGGGUUACAAGAAUAAGUCUCCCGAUUAAUUCUACUCAAAGUCCCAAUCUCUUCCCGUAACCAAGAGACUCCAAUCCUAAUAGUGUUUCCCAAGGUGAAUCAACCCACAAACCCUAGUGUUUGCUCCUAAGAGACAAACUCUAUACAAACCCUAGUUUUGUUGUUGCUUUUCUAAACCCUUGUUUCAGCCCCCUCUAUCUCAAAGUUUGCUUUGAUACAAGGUCUAUAUUUAUAGUAAAAGUAUAACUCAUAAAUUUGGAACAAAUACCACACUGAAGAUUCGUUUUUUUUUUCUCCUUCAGUGAAAGAAUAUUUGCAUCAAAAAUAUAAUAUUCCCUUUCAAAAUAUAUUUGCAUCAAAUCGUUCUUCAUACGAUACAAAAAUAUAUUUAUUGUCCAUAAAUAUAUUUUCAGCACAAUAUAUAUUUGAAACAAAUCUUUUAUAUUUUUAGCAACAAUAUUCUCCAUCCAUCAAUUUUUGAGUCAUACUACAACACUUUGGAUGAGCUCGCUUUUCCCUCCACCUGAAGAAACUUAAGAUCGCUAGACGAGCAAAUUUUUCUAGGAAAAUAUGCACUUUUUUUACUUAUAUAUAAAUAGAUGUAAUACACAAUUCAGAGAUAUCUUACGCAUCUUAAACUUGUUGUUAGAGAGAACGGAGAGGAGAACAUAGAUUCAUCAUUGCAGAAUUUAUCAAUUCUUUUAUUUCAGGCUCUAGGUGCUUGUUUCAAACCAUAUAAGGCUUUGCUCAAUCUGAACACUCUAUCUUUCGUCCCUUUGAUUGUGAAACUAGGUGGUUGAGUGACAUACACAGUCUCUUCUAAUGUACCAUUCAGAAAUGCAAACUUUACUAGUUGCUAAUACUAUAACCAAUCUGAUAGUUUCAUGUCUUGCAUCUGGUGAGAAAACUUUAGUGUAAUCAAAACCUUCCUUCUAAAUAAACCUCUAGCCAAAAGCCUUGCUUCGUGAUUCACAAUCUUCCCUUCUUGAUUAAAUUUUAACUUGAAAACCAAUUUUAUAUCUAUUGCCUUUUUUCCAUCUCGAAGCUUUAUCAGUUCACAAGUCUGACUCUUCUCAAUAGAUUUUAGUUCACCUAUCAUAGCUUCCUUUAAUGCCUUAUCACAUAGUGCAGCUAUGUAAUCUAAUGGCUCGAUGUCUGCUAGCAUUGCAAAAUGCACCAAUUAACCAUCACUAGUUCAUCAUCACCAGUUACCUGACAGUCUUCUGAACUUCUUGGAAUUUGUCUGUUUCUUUGUGGUCUGGCUAUAGUGGUUGACUCUUCAUCUAUGAUUUCUUCAUCAUUAGCAACUUCAUUUAUGGUGAGCUCAUCAGAUUCUCUAUUAUCUUCAAUGAUAACCUCCUUCUCAGAGACACUGCACUUAUUUGCAGUACAAUCCCAAUAUUCAUCUAUUUAAGAUGAAUAUUGGGAUUACACUAAAGUUUUCAGGGAUAUGCUUAUAGCAUAUUGAGCCAAAUACCUUCAAAUGACUGACAUAUGGUUUUCUACCUGACCAAACCUCUUCAGGCACUUGAUUCUUCAAUUUCUUAGUGGGACAUCUAUUUAAGAUGUAAGCUGCAAUAUUCCCUACUUUACCCCAAAAUUCAUGAGGUAGCUUCUUCUCUAUCAGCAUAAUCCUAGCCAUAUCAAGUAAACUCUUAUUCCUCCUUUCAGCAAUACCAUUGCGUUGAGGAGUGUAAGGAGUUGUCACUUCAUGAACUAUACCCUGACUUGUGCAGUAAGAUUCAAAAUAUCUAGAAGUAUAUUCACCACCUCCAUCUGUUCUGAGAAUAUUCACCACCUUCAAAUCUUACAAAGAAUAUGAGAUGGUAGAAUUAUGAGAAUUUUCUCCAUGAUUGCUUUAUCAGAAAGAGUCUCACAACAUAGCUUCAUCUGAUUUGUGAUUGUUUGAAUUGAUUAGAAAUAUUCCUCUAUGUUCUUUUCUUUCUUCAUCUUCAGCAAUUCAUAUUGUCUUCUCAAUGAUUGCAAUCUUAUCUUCUUCACCUUAUCAUCCCCACUGAAGUAUUUCACAAGUGUAUCCCAAGCUUCCUUAAAGCUUUUUGCAUAUGCAAUCUUUUCAAAUACCUUGUUAUCCACGCAUUGAUGAAUAUAAAAGAGAGUCUUGAAAUCUUUCUUGUUCUUGGCUUCUUUAUGCGCAUUCCUUUGAAUUUAUGUGGGAUUUGCAGGAAGUGCUUCAACUUCAUUGUUGACAAUCUCAAGAACAUCUUGAAACCCAAAGAUCACCUUCAUCUGUUUCACCCAUCUUUGCCAAUUCUUCCCAUCAAGAACUGGUAAAUGUGCAGAGAUGUUUCCAUUGGAAUUCAUGGUUAACUCUCUUCUUCUUGGAUCAAAAAAUGAUUAUGCUCUGGAUACCAAUUUGUUGGUGAACAAAUUGAUCUAGGGUUUAUGUGUUUUGUGUGAUUGAAGGAUAAGAAACAGUUUUAGAGAAUGAAAAAGAGAGAAAGAGAUUGGAGAAUUAAAACUGAAUGCAUUGGCUUUAUUAAAUGAGGAACCAAGUAUAUAUACAACAUGUUCUAGCUAUAGCUUGCAUUACAAGUAAAUGCUAAUUGUCUAACUAACUUUCUAAAAACAAGGUAAAGUAGUUACUUAGGUAGCAAGGUAACUAACCCUAAAUCAAACUAUGAGUUUUGAAUUACAAAUUCAACACUCACAAGGGCAUGGUGGCGGAAACUCUAACCCUAGGAGAGCAAGAAAUUUCUUGAGAGGUUUUGAUUUUGUCUAAAAAAAUUUAUAUAAUCUCUUGGAUGUUGAACUCUAGGACGUUACAUAUCUUAUUUACCGAAACCAUUUGAUUAUGAUAUGUGCCAAAAAUAUUUAUAACCAAAUGCAAUAAAGUAAAUACAAAAUAUACAAUAAAUUACACUAGAAAAUAUUCAAUAAAUUACACUACAAGUUAAUAAUAAUGUUAAUUUGCAGACACUAAUAUACGUUUUGUUCCGUUCUGCUUAAUUUGCUCUAUCCAAGAAAAUAAUGAAGUUGAGAUAUAUUCAUAUGAGUGUCUGAUGUGUUGGUCUAUGGUUAUUUAGAUUUUAGACUAUUUUGCAAAGCAUAAGAAAUAAAUAAAAACAAACUAAAAGUCUGAUAUUAUAAAAAUCUGGUUUUUAAAAAAGGCUAAAAGUAUAUUAUUUUAUAAUUUUAUGUUUUAAAGUGUUGGUUGUAAAUACCAAAGUAAGAAAAAACUCAUAAACAUCACAUACAAACCCGCAUAUUUAAACCGCAUAACCUACGAUUAAGCAAUCCACCUUAUGUGAACCAAAACGAAAAUGGUGUGAAACAUAUUGGUCUUUAUCCACCUUGGGCCGCGAGUUAAACUAGUUGGUUUGCAGCCCCGGGCCAUAUUCACAACUCCUAUUUUUGUAUAGUUUUUAUUUGAAACAUUAGAAAAUUAAGCGUCAAACCAACAUAAUAUUGAGAGAGUUGGUAACAUGACUCUUCCUCAUAAAAAAAAAAAAAAUUGAAUUUCAUUCUUAAAAUCGUCUAUUUGAAAUUGAGCGAACUUAACCCGUUCAAAGAUCAUAUGUCUUCCUAUCAAGCUAGGAAGGUACCUUGAAAUGUUGUUAAUUAUAAUUAUGAUUAAGAUAUGCUAGAAGAAAAAAUUGAGGGCCAAGGGCAAACUGGCUCAUUUAAUAGAUAAAUAGACUUUAAAGCAAUUGGUAUACAAAUCCAAGUCACACCUCAGCAAGGAAGUUAAAGUCAGCCUUUAAUUGUUAGCAUUCACAUAUAUAGUAAAGACUUUUGGUUUAAAUUAGGCAAUUGUACCACAUCAAGAACAUUUAGAAGAUGCCAAAAAAUAAGACUAAAUAAUACAAAGGCUUUGAUGAUUCGAACUAUUUUGACUCUUUGUGUAGAUUUUAGGUAUGUUUGGUGGGUAACGUACAACAUUCAAUCAUUCCCAUCAAAUAAUUAAAUGAAUCUCACACUUAAUAUAAAUUUAAGAAUCAUAUCUUGUUCAUGAUCAUAUACAAUCUAUAGUGGUGUAUGCCUAUAAUAGUGUCAUGGUAGGUAUCAUAUUAGCUUUGUCGCUACUGAAGUAAAAUAAUUGUUUGACCUAAAAUAUUACCACUGUCGCUCUGUAAAAAAUAUAAUAUAGAAACAAUAUUCUUGUGAGGUGAGGAUUACCCCCACUUAUAAAUACAUUGUCAGGUCAUGUUCUAUCUGAUAUGGGACGCUUAACAUCUUAGAAAUCGUGGUUUGGGCCUAACACAACAUCACAAAACGGACUUGUGAGGUGAUGAUUGCCCCCACUUAUAAACAUAUUGUCAGACCAUAUCUUAUCCGAUGUGGGACUCUUACGUACACAAAAUUAGCAUAUUACAUAGGCUACAUAAUUUUUUAAUACAUGUAAAAUUAGCAUAUUGCAUACAUCUAGAACUAUGUUUACAUUUCAACAACGUUUAUUUAUUUUCUUACUGCAAGUGACGGAAACAGAAAAAAAAAAAAAAAAAAAAAGUUUAAGUAUAGGAUGCUCUAUUGCGGAUGGUCUUAGUCUUCCCAAGAAUCAUCAUAUUUUUUAUAAUAUCUCCACCAAGUAUGUCUUUAUAUACUUGUGUUAGUACAAUCAAUCAAUGUCGUAAUUUUUUUUUUUCUAACAGUCGACAUUGUCUAUCCAUUUAAAUAUUUUUUUUCAAUACCAAAAAAAAAAAUGAUCUUUCCUAAAAAAGACCUUAAAUUUUUUUUAGAGAAAAUAGCUUAUAGCUUUUCAUUAUUAAUCAAUGUCAAAAUACUAAGAGGUACAUCAUUAAAAACUUGGGAACUAGGUAAGAAUAAAGCCUCUCUAGCAAGAGUAUGAGCGACCUCAUUCGCUUGUCUCCAACUAAACUCCAUCUUAAAGUUUUCAGAAACAUUGUUGUUGCCUUUGGUAAAAUAAUCUACAACUAACUUCGCAUCCAUCUCAAAAUCUACAUUUGUAAGUUGUAGUUCGUGUACCCAUUGAAUUGCAUAGAGUAGACCUAAUACUUCCCCAAUCUCUGGCUUACAUAUGGGAUUAGACCACAUCAUCUUUGCCUUCCUGAAAUUACCAGCAGCAUCCCGUAUACACAGCCCAACACUACUAAAAAAAACAAAAAUUAGUGAGGGAUAUUUAGUGAGGGAAAAUAUGAAAUCCCUCUCUAAUUCCCUCACUAAAUUUUACGACCAAGGAAUUUGUGAGGAAUUUCAUUUUUUCCGUCACUAAUUUCCCUCACUAAUUUUGCUUUUUCUAGCAGUGCAAAACCAACACGAUUUGAAUCUUCCGAAAACGCCGCGUCGAUGUUGCAUUUUAGCUUACCAGCUGCACUACACUUCUGCUUCCUCAUAUUUCCUCAUAGUCUGGCAUGUAAACAAUGUGUUGCUUAAUAUAACAAUUUUCUAUAUAUGGCUGCCAGAUUUGCUCCCCUGGUGAUUAGACAGUAAACAAUAAAAAACGUUACACGCAAUUUCAUGGUUGGUUCAAUAUUUUGUUGUCCAGCUAAGUUAUAACAUAGUUUCAAAAAAGACAAUUUGUUAUUCAAAUUUGAAAAUGAUGCAAUGAUAAAGACAUUUUAUCACCUUAUCAUUAAAAAAACACGUGUAAUAAUCACUUAAACACAUGGACAAAUAAAAUCACGUAAGCAAUCUUGAUAUUAAUUAACGAAGGUUGACUCAGUUUAUAAGAAAUUGAUUCAUCUGUACGCCAUAGAUUCAACAUUUAUUGUCAAUGUAAAUAUCUUUUUUGUAAAUGAUAUGUAAAUACUUCUAUAAACAUUAUUUAAAUCUUGAAAUAUGCCUUAACUAUAAUGAAUUUUUGGAGGGUAACCUAUCAAAAUUUAUUUAUAUAAUAAAUAAAAGGUAAAUAUUUUGGCUAGGAAAAACCAAUGGUAGGAAAAAAAAUUACAUGUUGUGAUGUCAUGGAAGUCGAUGUAUGAGUAAACCUAGCUACUUGCUGGAAAUGAAAUAUGUUAAAGAUCUUACACACUGAAAGGAUCAAAUAUAUGUUCCUUUCGCACGAAUAGUUCUCUCUCUUUCUUUUUUCUUAAAUCAUAGCCGUCACAACUUUUAUUCUUUUUGGUGUACAAAAAGAAUUGAUUUAGGAUCAAUUACGAUCCAUAAUCACCCCUUUAAAUUGUUAUUCUUUCUCUUUUAGCAAAGUAAGUGAUUUUCACAUAAUUUUCUUUCCUUUGUUUUUGUGAUUUUGUCGUAUAACACGAUUUUGUUUAUUUUGAUUUCUCGUAUUUAUGCAGUGUUUUUAAUUGUUAGCUUUCACAUAUAGCAAAAACUUUUGAUUUAAGUUAGGCAAUUGUACUACAUCAAGAACAUUUAGAAGAUGCCAAAAAAUAAGACUACACUAUGCAAAGGCUCUGAUUGGAACUAUCUUGACUCUUUGUCUGGAUUUUAGGCAUGUUUGGUGGGUAACCUACACCAUUCAAUCAUUCCCAUCACAUGAUUAUUAAAUGAAUCCCACUUACUAAAAUUGAGAAUCAUAUUAGCUUUGUCGAUACUGAAGUGAAAUAAUUGUUUGACCUCAAAAAAUAACAUCCGUGUAUAAAAGGAUAACAGAGAAACAUUCAUACACAAAAUUAGCAUAUUACUUUCACUAAAAAAAUUUUAGGCUUAAUACAUGCUUUCGUCCCUUAACUUAUUUUUGAAUUUCAUUUUGGUCCCUUAACUUUAAACCGUCUCAAUUUGUUCUCAUAACUUUGCCUCCGUUUACAGAAGGGACCACUUAGGUAAACGGAGGCAAAGUUAUGGGACCAAAUUGAGACGGUUUAAAGUUAAGGGACCAAAAUGAAAUUAAAAAAUAAGUUAAGGGACCAAAGCAUGUAUUAAGCCUUAAAUAAAUUAUACUAAGAGGAUAUUUGUCAAAGAUACAUAUUUUUAUUGAAGAAAAAAAUAAUAUUACAAAGCAUGAAAAAAGCCCAAUAAAUAAAAUGGUUGAACAGUGUUGGGAAAAAUAUUGCAAGAUAAAAUAAUAAAUAUAUUACAACAUCAACAAAACUCGUAAAAUAGUGUGAGAAUAUAGGAAAUUUUUCCAUGACAAUAUAGGAGGUGAACAAAAUAAAUUAUGUUAAAAUUAAAUUAGAAAGUAAUGAAAACUUUGGUAAAAUAAAAAGUAAUAAAAACAAGCAAAUCUCUAAAAAAAAGUAAUAAAAACAAACAAAUCCCUAAAAAAAACAUAUAAAAUAUUUGGACUAUAAAAUUAAAGUAGAUAUGAAUUAUUUGUUGAGAUGUUUAUGUCAAAUAGAAAAAUGAGUUUUCUAAAAAUAAAACAUAAAUGUUAAUUUCAUUGGAACACCAACAAAAUAAAAAUUCAUAGGGAGGUAGUUCUAUUGCAUCAAAUAGAUCUAUUAUGAGAUAAAAAUAAAUGAACAUCAUAAUAUUAUUUUUAGUAAAUGUAAAUUAAUGUAUCACUCAUUUUUUAUAGAUUAGAAAAAUGAUUUUGACAUUCUAUAAUUUAGAGAUUAUUUUUUAAAGACUUUAUUAAAAAGUAUAAUCAAUUUUGUGUUUAUUUUUCAGAAUAACAAUCACUUCUUUGAAAAAAAAUAUAUGUUAAUUUGAUACAAGGCUUAAUAAAUGCUUUGGUCCCUUAUUUUUGAAUUUCAUUUUGGUCCCUUAACUUUAAACCGUCUCAAUUUGGUCCCAUAACUUUACCUCAGUUUACCUAAGUGGUCCAUUCUGUUAGUUUUUUUAACAGAAGGGACCACUUAGGUAAACGGAGGUAAAAUUAUGGGACCAAAUUGAGACAGUUUAAAGUUAAAGGACCAAAAUGAAAUUCAAAAAUAAGUUAAGGGACUAAAGCAUGUAUUAAGCCAAAAAUUUAUUACGUGUUCUGGAUCGAUCAAAAGAUCAAUCCCAUGUUGACACGUGACCUAAAUUUGCACUGCCUUAAAGCUCCGCGCUUGAAGGAGCAUGCCAAUUUUAGUACACCGCGUCACGUUCAAGCACGCCUCGGCGUGAGGUCACCUUACACGUGUUCUCUAACUGUCUCCUGAUCACAUGCUGCAAAACUCGAAGACAUCUCCACGAGUGCGUGUAUAAGGGUGACUUAACUUCACCCUCAAAGUAUGAUUCACUUUUCACAACACUUUCUACAUACUCUUUCAAAGGAAUAAAAAAAACAUUUGUUACAACUAUUUUUAUUUAAAGAAUCAUAGGUGCGGGAUGAAAUAUUAAAAAGUUAUAAUCACUUAAUAAAAUAGAAAUCGAUCCUCACUGAACCGACGUGGACCACGAUUGAUGACCAUAUAUAGUUGAUGAAACCCAGAGAUGGGGGGUGGUUGUCUCCGCCACUGAUAUAGUAACAAAAUAAAGGUUUAAUUGCACUUUUGGCCCCCUAUGUUUCAAGAAGUUGCGAUUUUGACCCCCUAACUAAUUAAAAUACAAAACAUCAUUGAGCUCAGCCACCUCCCAUCUCUGGGCUUCAUCAACUAUACAUGGUCAUCAAUCUUGAUCCACGUCGGUUCAGCGAGGAUCGAUUUCUAUUUUAUUAAGUGAUUAUAACUUUUUAAUAUUUCAUCCCGCACCUAUGAUUCUUUAAAUAAAAAUAGUUGUAACAAAUGUUUUUUUUAUUCCUAAAUUCAAACCUCUGAACUAACGUACACUAAUCUUUUCCCUCAUGAACAAAUAGUACAAUAAUCCUCAAGAAGAAGCUUCUUAGUCUUCCUAAGGCGUGUUGUAGAAAUUAAAUUAACAAUAAUAUUUUCACUCAAAGCUCGUCAUGUUUUUUAUAAUAUCUCCAUCAAGUAUGUAUUUAUAUACUUAUGUCAGUACAAUCAAAUUCGGUCCUCGUGAGCAUAGCUCAGUUGAUAUGGACAAUGCAUAAUAUAUGUAAGGUUUGAAGUUUAAAUUCCGACAACCACAAAAAAAAGAGUACAAUCAAACUCGAAUCUGACAUCUCAUAAUUGUGAUUGCGUGUAUGUAAAUUUAAAAGGUGGUGAUAUUUGUGAGAUCUUUAUUUUUCUUUCUUUUUAUUGGUUUAAAACAAUAAAGAAAAAAAUGAAGAGAAAGAAUAAGAAUAUAAUGCGAAUAUAAAAGAAAAUUGUUGAAAAAUUGUUACAAAAUAAAUGUUAAAAUAUCAUUUCUUAAAUCUAAAACGUUGCUCGUCACUUUUUCUACAUGUCAAAGUUGAAUCUUGUGAAGAAGUGAUUGUCCCAAAAAUAAUAUUUUAUUAGCAACAGUACUAGCAUCAAAUAUUUGUCAACAAAAAUAAAGUACUAGCAUCAAAUAAACUAACGUGCUACAUAUGAACAUAACCUCAAAUAUUGACUAGCUCCAUGCAUAUACUUUUCCCACGUUAAAAAAAAAGCCUAAUCAAAUUUCUAAUAACAAUUCUAAAAUUACUAUACACUCUUUCCAUAGACAUCAUUAUUGAUGAUUGUGGACAUGACCCCACAAUAUUAAUUUUGGUACAUGCAUAUAGCUCGAGAUACAUUUUUAAGAGAAAUAUAAUUUGUAUGAUAAUUUCACGACAAUUUUUAUGAUAAUUUUUUUUUUCUCACACUCAUGUUGUAUUUUUGUUCUCUCAUUUCAUAUUUCUUUGUCUAUUGCUUUUUUCCUAAAAAAAGAAAAAAAAUGAUUCUCCCAAAAAUACUUGUACAAAUAUCCACUCUUAGAAAAAGUAAAAUUAGGAAGAGAAAUUAGUGACGGAAAACAUUAAAUUUCUCACAAAUUCUUAAAUCGUAAAAUUUAGUGACGGAAUUAGUGAGGGAUUUCACGUUUUCCCUCUUAAAAUUUUCCUCACCGUUUUUUACUUUUAGUAGUGAUCAUUGAUAAAUUUUUAAUUCAUCUAUUGAGGAGGAACUAAAUAACCAUUUGUGUAAAUCUUUUCUUUUUUUAUAUCUAACAGGGUGAUUUAUAAGAAGAAGAGUCUGAACAUUUCGAUGAAGAAAAUCUAUAGAAAAGAAUUAAUUUAGUUAAAAGUGAGCCAACUUGGUUUUACUCCAAAAAAAUAUUCUUUAAAAUUUUUGCUCAUUCAAAAUCUAAAAUUGUUGUUUUCAAACGUAUAAUUUAGCAACUGAUUAUUAAGCAUUAGGAAAAAGCCCAUGCGACAGUAAAAAAUUGGACGCUAACAUGUCAAUUAGCGUCAACCUAGUGUGAGGCUCGUGGUUGACAAUAAAAUGCUUGAAGCUAACCAUUUGUGUCUGCAAUCCUGAAGCAAUUUGUAAGUAAUAUCGUAGACCAAUUUAAAUUUUUUAAGCUAAGCAUUAGCGUCUGCAAUAUCGAGGCUACAUCGCGUGCGCUUAGUGUAGGUCAAUUUAAAUUUUUAAAAUUCUGUAAAAGCAUUGACUAAAGGGGUUGGCCAACAAAAUAAAACAUAUUAGAAAUAAUUAACAAUCCAUUAAAGAUAGAAAAAAAAGUAAAAUAUAUAUACAAAGCAAAGCACAUAUUUGAGACAAGCAUCAAAUGUAAUAAAAAAAAUGCUACUAUGUUAUUUAUCCCAAAAAUAAAAUUAAAACAUCUUACAAUCAUGUGCAACAAACUUCUUUCUAUUGCAAUGGAGUCAACAUGUGUUAAACCAAAUAAACCAAAUAUUUAGAUGAUCUCCUAAAUAUUUUCUCUACAUCUAAGAAAAGAAUGUUCCAAAAUCUUGGCUAUAUUAAAGUUGAUAGGGUGGAAAUAUAAAUCUUGUUCAUUUUCGUUUUGGUUUUAAGCACAUCCUCUUUGUUUGAUUUCAACCUACUCAAACAAGCACAAUAAGCUUCAACAUUGUCAAUAAAGAAAGCACACACAAUUACAAAAUAUGUCAUAUAUUAGUCUACAAGAUAUGAUGAUUUUUUUUCGAUGUUGACCAAGCUAAUUACAUUUUAAUAAAAAUAAUUCUAUCAAUGAAAUUAUUAUGACAUCUCUCUUUAUCAACCUAAAAAAGUUUUUCAAAGCAAAGCAGAGGGAGUUCUUCCUACUCAUGUCGAUUAAUCAAGUCAAAAAGCUAAAAAAAAAAAAAAAAAACCAUUACUACAAUAAAGGAGAUUUCACCUCGGUUGAAAUGAAGUUUUCACAUUGCACCGUUCAUGAGGUAAGGUGGUGUGGUAUGUCUAACACUAUUUACAUCGGGCACAUCAGGUUGGUACCCAAUGUGAUAAGUACUUUUCACAUCGUUUUAUCACCGGAUGUGAAAUCCCUUUUAUAAAUUAGAACAUGUGAUUUACAUUUCACAUUAACUUUCACCUCAAGUGAUGUGAAAUCCAUUUUUCUAAAUGGUACAUUUUUAACCAACUUAAAAUGUCUAAUUUUUUAUAACAAAUAUAUAUUUUUAACCGACUUAAAAUAUAAAUUCAUGUGCUCUAUGAAACUGACACUCACUAAAUUGAAUUAAACAACUCCAACAUUGAUACGACAAUCAUCACUAGCAUUUAACUCCACAACCUCAAAUUUAUAGAUCAGAGGGCCUAUAAUACAUGGUAGUUACAAAUUAUCAACAAUUGGACGAGAUUAAAUAUAUACAAUAUUGUUUAAAAUAUAUGAAUUCAAAGUCAUAGUAGCAUAAAAAAUAAGAAGGGGUUAAAUUGGAAGGGUAUUGACUACAAAUUAACAAAUCAGAAAAUCAAUUUGAAAAGAGUAAGAAUACUAAUUUACUUAACACAAAAAAAUAGAUCCAAAGCAUAUUAUGAUGACUAUUGACUAUAAUCCCCAUUACAUAAGAAAUACCCAACAAAUAUCAAAAAGAGAGAUCUAACUUUCUAUCUCCAUUUUGAUUAUAAUGAGUUCACAAACAAAAUUCCCUAAGAAACAAUAGAGACCAUCAGAAAUCAUAAGCAAAAUGUUCUAAAAGAUAACAAACUCUAAAAGCUAAAGAAUAAAAACAUAAAAUUGCAACUAAUAGAGAAAAGAAACGAUUUAAUUCAUAAGAGAAGAGAACAAAGGAGUUGAAAAUAUAAAAUAAAGAUAUUGAUUCAAGAACAAAGACGAUUUUACCUCUGAACAACUUGAACAAAGCAACAAACAACGAAGGGCAAGAACAUAGACAAUUUUGGGUAUGAAAGGUUUGUAUCUGAGUGAAGCAGCGAAUGGUUUGCCUCUGAACGGUGAAACAACGAAGCUCUAAACAUGGAGGACGACUUGGCUCAUAAUGAGUCUAAUUUUUUUAUUUUUUCUGGAUCUGAGUUUUUUUUUCCCAGAACUUUAUGGCUUUGAAGGUUUUUUAAUGAAAGUGUGAAAAGAAAAUAUUGGGAAAAAAAAGGUGAGGGAAAUCUUAAAAUAAAAGUAGGAAAGAAAAGGGAAAUUGAAAAAUAAUGGAUAAUUUUUUUUUUAGCUUCACAGAUAAUCGAUGCUAUUUAAAAAUAAAAUAAAUAGUUUUAGAAUAUAUUGACGCUAAUUAAAUAAUUAAAUUAAAAUAUAAUGAAUUGAAGAAAGCGUUAGAAUUUGUGGAUGCUAAUUAGACGCUGUUAGCAUCAGAAAUUGUCUCACGCUAAAAUUUAUGAAGCUAGAUUGCAAUUUUUUUGUAAUAUGUGAAAGGGUACCAUAGAAGUUCCCUUUUUAUUAUCUUUGGUGGAAACUCCCAACAAAUUUGAAAUAAUGUUACCCGAGAGGGAUACAUAGAACCUGUAAAAAUUUGCUUUUGGACGCAUUCACCACAUGUCCCGAAGCCUCGGAAUAAGAGUCAAAUAUUCUCAUAAGGCAGCAUACAUUCUUAUUUGGUACGUUUACAAAAAAAAUUAGAAUAUCGUCUGUGCAUAUGUUGGCCAGCUUGCCGAGCAAGAGUAAUCGAACGACUAAGAACCUCUUUUGCCAAACAAAAAUAAAAGAGGGGAUAGAAGGUCCCCCUGACGAACACCCCGCCCGCACACAAGAGAAGAAGCCCAUCGCUUUACCAUUCACCAGAAUAAAAAGACGCGCAGAGUGCAAAAUAUAGAAGAAAACCUGCAGGAGAAAGCCAGGCUAAAACCAAACUGAUGGAGCACAGCUAGCAAGAAAUUCCAAUCUAAAGUAUCAAAUGCCUUUCUGAUAUCAAGCUUGAGCGCUAAAUUACCCCCAUAUUGAUUACGAUUCAGAAGGUUAAUAGCCUCAGAAGCUAUAGUAAUACAUUCUGAAAUGUAUCGAUCACGAAUAAAGCCACGCUACUCCAAUCAGAUUAGGUAGAAGCUCUCCAAGUCUCCCCUAUUAUAUAAAUCCUUAACCUACUUAUUUUCUCUUAUUUCCAAAUCUGCCCUCCAAGUCUCAAUAUUCUAUUCUAAUAUAUUUCUAUAACAUAUAAGAAAUAUAUCUCUAUAACAAAUAUAUUUCUAUAACACAUAUAUUUCUACACCAAAUAAGAAAUAUAUUUCUACACCAGAUAACAUAUAUAUUUCUACACCAAAUAACAAAUAUUUUACACCAGAUAACAUAUAUAUUUUUACACCAAAUAACAUAUAUAUUUCUACACACCAGAUAACAUAUAUAUUUCUAUACCAAAUAACAUAUAUAUUAUACUAAUAAAUACCAACAUAUAACAUAACAAAAUAUCACUCAUCAAAAUAAAUCGACUAAAUUAUAAAAAGACAUCUAAACUCAAUAAAAUAAAUAAAUAAUAAAAUAGGACGUUACAGGAUCUGGGUUUUAUUUUUUUCUUUUCAGAACUUUAUGCUUUUGAAGGGUUUUUAAUGAAAGUGUGAAAAGAAAAUAUUGGAAAAAAAAAAAGGUGAGGGAAAUCUUAAAAUAAAAGUGGGAAAGAAAAGGGAAAUUGAAAAAUAAUGGAUAAUUUUUUUUUUAGCUUCACAGAUAAUCGAUGCUAUUUAAAAAUAAAAUAAAUAGUUUUAGAAUAUAUUGACGCUAAUUAAAUAAUUAAAUUAAAAUAUAAUGAAUUGAAGAAAGCGUUAGAAUUUGUGGAUGCUAAUUAGACGCUGUUAGCAUCAGAAAUUGUCUCACGCUAAAAUUUCUGAAGCUAGAUUGCAAUUUUCUUGUAGUGAUAUGUGAAAGGGUAAUGGUAUUUUUAUUACCUUUGGUGUAAGCUAGAUAUCCUCCGCAUGCAAUUGGAAAAACUAAUUCCUCAAACCUUCUGAGAAUCAAAUGAACGGAAAACUCUCCAUUAAAGACAAUGAUAUUUGAACAAUCAUAUACCUUCAAUACAUUGAUAUGAUAUUGAGUAGCCCAUUUUAGCAAGUAAGUUGUAAUAUAAUUAUAAUAAUAGUAAUAGCAGAAGACAAAAAUAAUGAUUUUAAUUGUGAUAAAUUAGUUGCAUUAUGUGUUAGAAAUGAUAAAAUUGAUAAAAUACUAAUUCUUGAUAAUUUAUCAAUAUAAAAUUCUAAAUUUUUAUUUUAUCGUGCAAAACAAUAGACUAUUAAAAGGUUAGAUUAACUCUAAUAUUUAGAUUUCUUAAUUUAUUUAUUAGUGGAUAAAACAGAAAAAUGUUCUGAAAAUUAUUGAGGCAGCUGUGUGAGAAAACAUAUGAUACAUGUAUAAUUUUUCAAAGUUUGUUAAGGAGAAAGGACAGAUUAAUUUGAUCAAAUACCCAAUAAUUAAUUCAUCAAUGACUACGCGUAUAUUGAAUUUUACUUACUUUGAAAUAGCUUACAAAACAAAAAUAACAAAAUAAUUUUUUUGAAAGAGAUAUAAUAAAAUAAUUAUUGGUCCAUACUUACUAUAAAGAAAAUAAGAGCAGUGUCAACAUUUUCCAGCUAAUAUGCUCACUUACUUUAUUCCUUUCUUUACAUUUCUUUCAUGAAUAGCCAACUUGAUUCGAAUUGGUCCAAAAAACAUGCUCACUUAUUCAAAGGCAGGCCAUUAUUUUUUAAUGAAAUUAUAUGCUUGUAUUUUGAUAUAAACUUUUUUUAUAAACAUUCUGCUAAAGAAAACUAGGUAAAUUGUAAUAAGGACACCAACCAAGAUGAAUAGUUAAGGUAAAAUGUGUAAAGAAAAAACUAUAUAAAGGGUGAUGCUAUCUUUCAUAAUAGCAACAACAAAACACACUUUGGGAAAAUAUGGGGUCUCAAAUGGCCUCUAUUACUCUCACUAUUGCAUUGGCAAUAAUCUCUCUUAGCUUCCCAUCUCAAAUUUCAGCAAACAAUUACAUCUAUUCAUCUCCACCACCACCAAAGCCUUACUACUACCACUCUCCACCACCACCAGUGCACUCCCCACCUCCUCCUUACCAUUACAGUUCACCACCACCGCCACCAAAGAAGGAAUACAAAUACCCUUCUCCUCCACCACCAGUAUACAAGUACAAAUCACCUCCUCCACCGGUAUAUAAGUAUCAAUCUCCCCCACCACCAGUUUACAAGUACAAGUCACCUCCUCCCCCAGUUUACAAGUACAAAUCUCCACCCCCACCACCCAAGAAACCAUACAAGUAUUCAUCACCACCACCACCAGUUUACAAGUAUAAGUCUCCUCCUCCACCUGUUUACUCACCACCUCCACCAGUUUACAAGUAUAAAUCUCCUCCUCCACCAGUUUACUCACCACCUCCACCAUACAAGUAUUCAUCUCCACCACCUCCUCCGUACAAGUACUCAUCACCACCACCACCAGUCUACAAGUAUAAGUCACCUCCUCCUCCUUACAAGUACUCAUCUCCCCCUCCACCUCCAAAGAAACCAUACAAGUACCCAUCUCCACCACCCCCAGUUUACAAGUAUAAAUCUCCUCCUCCACCUGUCUACUCACCACCACCAAUUUACAAGUAUAAGUCACCUCCUCCACCUGUCUACUCACCACCUCCACCAGUCUACAAGUAUAAAUCACCCCCUCCACCUGUCUACUCACCACCUCCACCAGUUUACAAAUAUAAGUCACCUCCCCCACCUGUCUACUCACCACCACCACCAGUUUACAAAUAUAAGUCACCUCCCCCACCUGUCUACUCACCACCUCCACCUGUNNNNNNNNNNNNNNNNNNNNNNNNNNNNNNNNNNNNNNNNNNNNNNNNNNNNNNNNNNNNNNNNNNNNNNNNNNNNNNNNNNNNNNNNNNNNNNNNNNNNNNNNNNNNNNNNNNNNNNNNNNNNNNNNNNNNNNNNNNNNNNNNNNNNNNNNNNNNNNNNNNNNNNNNNNNNNNNNNNNNNNNNNNNNNNNNNNNNNNNNNNNNNNNNNNNNNNNNNNNNNNNNNNNNNNNNNNNNNNNNNNNNNNNNNNNNNNNNNNNNNNNNNNNNNNNNNNNNNNNNNNNNNNNNNNNNNNNNNNNNNNNNNNNNNNNNNNNNNNNNNNNNNNNNNNNNNNNNNNNNNNNNNNNNNNNNNNNNNNNNNNNNNNNNNNNNNNNNNNNNNNNNNNNNNNNNNNNNNNNNNNNNNNNNNNNNNNNNNNNNNNNNNNNNNNNNNNNNNNNNNNNNNNNNNNNNNNNNNNNNNNNNNNNNNNNNNNNNNNNNNNNNNNNNNNNNNNNNNNNNNNNNNNNNNNNNNNNNNNNNNNNNNNNNNNNNNNNNNNNNNNNNNNNNNNNNNNNNNNNNNNNNNNNNNNNNNNNNNNNNNNNNNNNNNNNNNNNNNNNNNNNNNNNNNNNNNNNNNNNNNNNNNNNNNNNNNNNNNNNNNNNNNNNNNNNNNNNNNNNNNNNNNNNNNNNNNNNNNNNNNNNNNNNNNNNNNNNNNNNNNNNNNNNNNNNNNNNNNNNNNNNNNNNNNNNNNNNNNNNNNNNNNNNNNNNNNNNNNNNNNNNNNNNNNNNNNNNNNNNNNNNNNNNNNNNNNNNNNNNNNNNNNNNNNNNNNNNNNNNNNNNNNNNNNNNNNNNNNNNNNNNNNNNNNNNNNNNNNNNNNNNNNNNNNNNNNNNNNNNNNNNNNNNNNNNNNNNNNNNNNNNNNNNNNNNNNNNNNNNNNNNNNNNNNNNNNNNNNNNNNNNNNNNNNNNNNNNNNNNNNNNNNNNNNNNNNNNNNNNNNNNNNNNNNNNNNNNNNNNNNNNNNNNNNNNNNNNNNNNNNNNNNNNNNNNNNNNNNNNNNNNNNNNNNNNNNNNNNNNNNNNNNNNNNNNNNNNNNNNNNNNNNNNNNNNNNNNNNNNNNNNNNNNNNNNNNNNNNNNNNNNNNNNNNNNNNNNNNNNNNNNNNNNNNNNNNNNNNNNNNNNNNNNNNNNNNNNNNNNNNNNNNNNNNNNNNNNNNNNNNNNNNNNNNNNNNNNNNNNNNNNNNNNNNNNNNNNNNNNNNNNNNNNNNNNNNNNNNNNNNNNNNNNNNNNNNNNNNNNNNNNNNNNNNNNNNNNNNNNNNNNNNNNNNNNNNNNNNNNNNNNNNNNNNNNNNNNNNNNNNNNNNNNNNNNNNNNNNNNNNNNNNNNNNNNNNNNNNNNNNNNNNNNNNNNNNNNNNNNNNNNNNNNNNNNNNNNNNNNNNUAUAAGUCACCUCCCCCACCUGUCUACUCACCACCUCCACCAGUAUACAAGUAUAAGUCUCCUCCCCCACCUGUCUACUCACCACCUCCACCAGUAUACAAGUAUAAGUCCCCUCCUCCACCUGUUUCCUCACCACCUCCACCACAUUAUGUUUACUCUUCCCCUCCUCCUCCAGUCUAUUCCCCUCCUCCACCACAUUACAUUUAUUCAUCACCCCCUCCUCCUUACCACUACUAGAUAGUGGUUUACGAUAGUAUCAAAUGGUAUGCUUCUUCCUAUGUACAACCCACACAAAACACUUCAUAAAUAAAACAUUUUAAGACAAGUAUAUACAUUUAUAUAUUAUCAACUAAACAAUUAAAUAAGAGAAACAAAAUUAGUUAUUUGAGCACUUUUACAUACCGACACACGAAACUCGUUAUCUAAUAUAAGCCUCACUUACAUUUUCUUUCCUAUAAUCUAAAUUAUUCAAUUUUUUGAGAUAUCUAAAUUGUACAUACACCUGAUCAAACAGUUUAUAAAACUUAAUCUGAGCCUAUUUACAUUCAUAUUAUUAGUAUUAUUAAAUUAGAAAAGAUAUUAAUAUAUAUUAGUAUAUAUAUUUAGGGAGACAAAACAUGUUAUGUAAUCAAACAUGUUGUGUAUAUAUAUAUUUUAAGUGCUUAAAAUUAAUGAAAGAUAUUAACAUAUUUAUGUAUUUGUAUACUUUUGU